ACACCUCCACUCUAUCUCUCUCAAUCUAGUAGAAACUAGAAGAUCUAUUUCUACCUUACAUUGGUUGCUAAGCCGAAAAAGAAAUAUUAUUUAGAGAAGAGGUUUUCCUUCGAGGGCACCCCUCAAUCUCUAUGAUAAUUUCUUGUCUUCUCCAGGGCCAGAGGGGGUCUCCUUAUAUAGUCCUCCCCUUCUAUGCGUUUUUGGGUCGAUAGGCGAGGUGGUACUAUGUUAUUCUGGAUCCAAUAGGUCGGUGGAACGUCGUGUGCGAAGAGAGUCCGGAACGGAGUCCAGAGGGGGGCGGGCGCCCAGGUCCUCAGGGCAGGCGCCCUGGGCCUGGCCCCUUUCGGGCUCCGCUUCCUUCCCGUGGCUUCUGGAGUCUUCUAGAUGGUAGAAAAUUGCGCGGUGGGUUGAUAUCUCUAUGUAAUCCUGACAUGUGGGCCUUUCUUCCUUAUUUCCUGAUAACCCCCUGCAGAAAUAGACAAACACCAAAACUCAUGGAAUUCUGUCAGAUAAAACCCUAAGUCUAGAUGUUGAUUUCAUUUGGAUCCUUUUCUUUGUUUAUUUGAUAAUUAAAUUUGAUACUUAAGGACCGUCAACAAACUCCCCCAAGCUUACCUCUUGCUCGUCCCUGAGCAAGGAUGAACUCAAGAGUUUCUGUAGUGGUUUCAUUUCUUAGAAGUACACACGCAUUUAAGCAAGAUCUCAUCUCUGAGUUAGAAUAAACUGUUAAGACUUAAAACUUACUUACUUUACCUACACCAUAGGACUUGUAACCGUCACUUCUGUCUUGAGUGGUUAAAAGAUAGAACAGUCUAGCCAAUUGCCAUGUCUCUUAUUCUUGAUCAGCUAUAGCUCUGGGGUUUUUGCAGAUUUUCAAAUAAAACUCAGAAAUUCCUUGUAUGAUUCUCUCAGGUCUCUCUUUUGUGGUAUUUUUGGAUCCUUACCAAGGCAGUGAUGGUAUAUGCCUUCUCUCAAAAUAUGUAGUAUUGGUGGUAUGAAGCAUAGUGUCAUUGUCUUCUCUCUCACCCUACUCUAAUAAGGCUUUAAUAUCUGGAGCUCAUAGGUGGGCGAUAAAGUAUACAUACUUACAAGACAUUUAUUGCAUAGUCAAACCAUGGAUCCAAAGAAACAAAUCAAUAAGCCAAAUCAAGAUGUGCAUGUGUGGCGAAUGAAUGGUGUAUGGUGAUAACAAUGGUGGUGGAAGUCUAAUUCUACUUUGCUCUUUGAGGGGAUACAUACCUUCCUUGCUUUUGAAACUUUAUGAGGAGAAUGAGAUGCUCUUCUUUUUUCUUUUCUUUCAAGGUUCCGAGCACUUGCUCCUUUUUAUUUCCUCGUAUCUUUUAUUUUCUUUUUCUCUUUUUUUUUCAGAGCAUUCAUCUCUUGAGAUAAUAUAGCAAGUGGUAGUAACAAGAUAACUUGAGCAUUUAUUUCACAAGGGGAAACAGAAAUAUUUUUGGUUAUUCUCUCCCGGAUUAGGAGUAGAAUACUUUUGGGUGGUUUUGGAGAUGGAAAUGAGUAGAUAUAUGUGGAUGGUACUUCCGGAGUAGAAGUAGCAUGUAUGAGUUAACGUGCAAAUGAAUCUUGAUUUAACCACAUGACAAGCUCCUAAGGGUCUAUACAGCUUGACCACACUCAAUGCUCAUAAGCAGUAAAUAGUAAAUGUGUGGCUCAAGGUCUAGCAAGCAUGUAUAUAUGGCUGUGGUAGGAAUUUAAACUCUCAUCAUACAGGAACUCAUCAUGCAACAUUUUAAAGAUUUUCAAAGAUAAAAUUCUCCAGAAUUCUAGCAUCUCUAGGAACAGAUAAACAACAGCUCAACCUUCCCAUAUCGUAUCCGUUAACAACUUAGACUUCAGAUCAAGUUUUCAUCCCACAAGUUUAGGUCUAGAGCAAGCCUUAAAUUAUAACAGUUAUAUCUAAACUUGAGAGAGAACUUCAAAUAUUCAAAUUAGGCAGAGCAACUAUUCAUCAUAUCCAUGCUUAAGUUUUAUUAGAUAUAGAUUAGCAUAGCCACUUUAUUUAUUUAUUAAACACACUAAGCAAAAUAUAUAUAAGCAUAAAAUCUUUAUUUGGUUUUUCAUAGUUAUGUGUAUUUAUAUUCUAAUAUAGUAUAAGUAUAAAGAUAGAUAGAAAUACUUAUCGAGAUAAAUGGGGGUGCUCUCCCCCAAGCUGAAUUUUGACGUAAUUUCUUGAUGUAGCUAGCAGGUGGCAGAGGUGUAUUUGAAAUUCAGCAGCAUUCUGACAGCGAUUAGAAUGUCCUCCGUCUGCUAGUCUUCUUGAUUCUUAAAUUCUGUGGAGCUCAAAUAGACAACAAAGCUUGUGGAACUGGUUAAGUGUUAGCAUAAAUAUCUAGCCUUUAUCAUGUUGAGACUCCUUAAUAAAUAUUACUCCCUGUUUUUAUAUUUUUAUUUUUAUAAAGCAGAAAAAUAUUUAUUUUAUUUUUAUGCCACCACAGUGAAUGUACUUAUGGGUUUUAUGCCACUCGUCUACUCACAUGGGGCUUACAGUUUUUUGUCACAUUUUUAUUUUCUUUCUAGGAUAAUACGAACAUGAUUAACUAAGUAAACUAUUUGAAAUAAUUAAAAGGGAAAGGAUAACUACCAAGUUUACCUCUUGGCAAGGCGUUCGGUGUUUUUAAGUCCUCCGAGCGGGACUCUCCAUUUUCUUAAUCGUCCUGGGAUUCGCUGGAUGACGUAGUCGGUGAUUCCGGUGGCGCCUCCUCUUCGUGUGUAACUAUAUUCUCUCUCCACACCUGACUCGGUGCUAUGGUCUCCUCAGGACAGUUAUGUUCAAGUGGUAUGUCUUCAGUCCUUAUCACUUCUCCUUCGUAGUCUACCCAUCCGUCCUUGAUGAUUUGCCUCCUCUGGUUGCGGUUGCGUUGUCUUCUUCUUGUCCUGACGUGGUCUUCUCCGGUUCCAAUGUAGAUGAUGGCUUUGAUAGUGCUAAGGAACGGUCUUCUAAGGAUGAUGGGUGGAUCGUACUCGUCUUCUCCCAUGUUAAUGACCUAAAAAUCAUCUGGAGCUGAAUGUAUGUUGGUUGUAGGGGCAUGGUUCCAUGCAGGAGCUGAUAAGUGACUGCGGCCAUUAUGUUGACGUCAGAUCCGGUGUCGUAGAGUGUCUUCUAAAAAGAGUAUUUGUUGAUUGUGCACUCAAUGCUUGGAACACCAGGGUCGUCCUUCUUGAUCAAGAAAGGUGACUUGAAUCGACGAUCUUGACCUCCUUGAGCUGCAGUGACCAUCUUAGCUGACUCGGUCCACAUUUGCUUGUUCUUGUUCCUCCUGUUGGUCCUCUUCCUCGGUUCAUGUCGGGAUUGCUCUGAAAUUUGUGUAGUCUUGUUCUUGAAGGAAAGUCUCCUUCUUCCCCUUGAUGUAGAGACUGAUCUUGGCAGCAUUAGCGUAGAUGACAGCUCUAGUGUUUAGGAAUGGCCUCCCUAAGAUGAUGGGUGCCCUCUCCUCAGUACCAGUCUCUAUCACCAUGAAGUCUGCUAGAGCAUACAAGGUACCAACUCGGACGCAGAGGUUCUUCAAUAUUUCCUUUGGGAAACUGAGUGUCCGAUCUGCAACCUUGGGCAUAAUGUUGACGCUGGAGCCAAAGUCGCAGAGUGCUUCUGGGAAGUCCACCAUGCCGAUGGAGAUCGGGAUGACGAGGCGUCCUAGAUCACCUCUCUGAGUAAUUAGGCCUCUGUUGAUUCCAACCUUGAUGUUGUUGAGGACGGUUGUAGUAAUAGUUGUUAUGGUUGUUGAUGUAGUUCACGUCCUCAAGCAUCUUAGGGCAGUGAUUGCCUGAGCGUCCAGUAUCUCCAGUGUGUUUGUGCUCGUAGAUCCUAGUUCUUCACUUGGUGGAAUCUGGGAGUUGUAAAACUCCUUCAUAUUAUGCUCGAAGUGUUCCUGCUCAUAGAGACAAGGUAGAGAUCAAGUGCAUGGGCCCUGUUGGUGGAAAACACCAACAAAACCAAAAGUGUAUUUGUUCUUCUCUAACCUUAAGCAUAGUGAGCAAGACAAAGUUGAUGGAUCAUGAGUGUAGCAUUUGUCAGAUCAGAUGGCUCAACCUAAUGGAAAGAUAAUCUAUCUAUAUUUAUGUUUUGUUUAUAUCUUCCAAAGAUUUAAUGUGCAAUACUUUAGCUUAUAUGAUUAGGAGUGUGGGGUCACGAAGGUAGUACUAAGAACAAAGAUUAAAGGACUAAACAUGUUGAAUUAAUUGAGUUGGUUAAUUUGGAGUUAUAAAUCAUACAUGUUUGUCUCUUUAUUUUAUGUGAACGCUAGAACCAAGGAGAAACUUAUAAAAGUGAUAGUCAAGUACCUUAAGAUGUUACCUUAUUUGAAGAGUGAUGGUACAGUAUCACCUUGUGGAAGCUUUCCUUUCUUAGCGGUUGUGCAUCGUGUUUGUGGCACCCUCCAUGAAUCAUCUCUUAUGAGCUACGUCUUUCUUGUGCAAAUUGUUAAACUUCAUGUGUCACUUUCUUCAUCUCUAAUGAGUUUGCAUCUCAGGACUUCCCAGGUUGAUAUUGAAAGUUUUCCUACAGGGGUUAGUCCAACAAAAUAUACCAAUAUCUACUCAAGCAGUUUUUAGUUCAGUAACCAAACUAGACUCCAUGUCUAAUCAGAUUAAGGAAGGCUAUUUAACCUAAGCACCACGCUUAAUUUAAAUGCCAUUGGAAGUGUGACCAGUACUUCCAAACUAACACUUACUAGGAUAAACAAAGGUAGCAUGAUGGCUUUUAUAGAGAUCUACUCAAGUGGAGAUGAAGUAGUGUGAUUAGUAUUUAAAAAAUUGAGCAUGUCUCAAAGGUAAGGACAACCAACAUAGCAACAUGGCAAAGGAUGUUUUAUGUAAAGUACUCCCCCAAGCUUGAAUUUUGCAAAAUUCAAGAUUAGAUGAAUUUAAUUUAAUGUUGCAUGAUGAUUGGUUGGGCAUACCUUGCGCUUGUCAUUCAUCCGAUCUUCUUGCUCCAAUCCUAGAAAGGUUAGUGGCAAGAAUACCCGAAGGAAUUUUUCUACAAUUAUCUUUAUAUGCUCAAUACACAAGGCAAUGUUGCAAAUAAUUAGAAGUGCUUGUUUUAGGACACUAAGCUUGUCCUUGGGAAACCAUCAAUCAACUCAACGAGAUCUGUAAUAGUUAUUAUAGACAUAUGCAUCGACAACCGCCCUUUUAAAGUUUUUAUAAAUAGAAAGGAAAAGGGGGUUGGAGAUCUCAAAUGUGGUAAGGAUGGAGAGACAAAUUGAUUGGAGAGAUGUUUUAUAUGAGCAAGGACUGGGUGAGGUAUUUAUGAAAUAACUUCCAUGCUCACUGUUGUUUCUCUCAUUCUCAAACUCCAAGGAUGAUUCUUCAUGAAUGUUUAAAAUUCCUCUAGGAUUGUCUCUCAAGUUUGUUUUAUCUAUCCAUUCAAUGGAGAUAGCACAUGGAUUUUUAAUGCCCUCUAGCCAUUGAUGUUGCUCUUCUCGAUCCUCCUUCUUAUGCAUGGGAUGUCUAGAAAGAUUCAUAGGAUUAUCGGGAGGUUCAAGAGGAAGAGCAUAGUAGAAACUAUUAAGCUCAAGGAUGGGAUGGAUAGCCGAAUUAUGGGUUUGAAAUGUUUGGAAAUUGGCUAUUGAAACUUCCUUUCCUUGUCUGGGAGAUGAUUCCUUCUCUAUUUCUAAGAUUUUUCUAUGAAGACUAGUACAAGAUGGAUGUCCACGAAUAAAGACAUACCUUCCUUUACUAAUAGAUAAAGAAAGAAAGACUCUACCAAAGUUUAUAUGAUUAAGACCAAUGUGAAAAUAUUUAGGAAAAACAUGGUCUUGUAGGGCUAGGUCUAAACCAGAAUUUAUAGAAAGAUUAAAAGAUUCCCUAGGUGUAGCUAAAAGUGCAUUAUCUUUUUGAUUAAAAGAUAGGACCUCAGCUAUAGAAAAGGGUUGGUUUUGACCUAUUGCAAUCAACUCCGGACACAUAUCAUAAUUAGGGGCAGGACGUGUUGACUCCCAUGGUCUAUGGCUGGUCUCCGAAGGUGCAAAGAAUUCAAUAAUAGGUAUGGAAUUUGAGUUAUCCAUAAAGAUAAAAAUAAAAAGAUAAAAGAAUAAAAGUAUAAAAGUAUAAUACAAGAUAAUAGCAAGACUCAAAGUUAUCUCAGCAAACCGUCUUUCUCCCCGGCAACGGCGCCAGAAAUGCUUGUUGAUAUUUGGUAACGCAAUUAGAAAAUGAUCCGCAAGCGCACGGAUAUCGGUGAGCAUUUCACCCGGGAGGUUAUCCAGAGUUAUCGUAUUUAUAUUUUUACCACUGGGAGAAAGGGUGCAUCUGACUAACCAAAUCUAUUGCUACUAUCCCUUUAGGCUAGAAAGAAUGUCUCUCGAUGUGAGUGAUGUAUAGAGAAGACUGCAACCUUAGUCUCGUUCUAACCUUGGUAAGGAUGAUCUACUGUUCUAUUGGGGAGGCUCACGGAAUCUAGACAACACAAAGGAUGUUCGACCCGCACCUAUAAACCUACCCGUCCUGCUAACGAGAUGUGAUCUGCAAAGGUAACUCGGAAAUGUCACAUUCCUCGCUACUACCACGGUCCAGCUAGUCAGGGGAUAUCUAUGAGUACCCUAGCCUAAACACCACGUUUACGCUAACAAGUGAUUAGUCUAAUACUCAACCGGAAGAGGAUUAAAGUAAACUCAUAAACCAAAGAACAAUAAAACAAGAACUUACUAGAAUUAGAAGUCGAAUUACUGAAGAAUCUUAGAAGCAAGCCUCGGGUUAGGAGACUUGAUCCCGCAGGUACAACUCGGAGUAGACACCGACAGGCCAGCCUUCCUCCGAUCCACACCUCCACUCUAUCUCUCUCAAUCUAGUAGAAACUAGAAGAUCUAUUUCUACCUUACAUUGGUUGCUAAGCCUAAAAAGAAAUAUUAUUUAGAGAAGAGGUUUUCCUUCGAGGGCACCCCUCAAUCUCUAUGAUAAUUUCUUGUCUUCUCCAGGGCCAGAGGGGGUCUCCUUAUAUAGUUCUCCCCUUCUAUGCGUUUUUGGGUCAAUAGGCUAGGUGGUACUAUGUUAUUCUGGAUCCAAUAGGUCGGUGGAACGUCGUGUGCGAAGAGAGUCCGGAACGGAGUCCAGAGGGGGGCGGGCGCCCAGGUCCUCAGGGCGGGCGCCCUGGGCCUGGCCCCUUUCCGGCUCCGCUUCCUUCCCGUUGCUUAUGGAGUCUUCUAGAUGGUAGAAAAUUGCGCGGUGGGUUGAUAUCUCUAUGUAAUCCCGACAUGUGGGCCUUUCUUCCUUAUUUCCUGAUAAUCCCCUGCAGAAAUAGACAAACACCAAAACUCGUGGAAUUCUGUCAGAUAAAACCCUAAGUCUAGAUGUUGAUUUCAUUUGGAUCCUUUUCUUUGUUUAUUUGAUAAUUAAAUUUGAUACUUAAGGACCAUCAACAAUAGACAUAGCCCUUUGAAGUAGAGAAACCAUAGUUAUCCUCUCUAUUCUGCUACCAUCGCCCAUAUACUAGAUUGCUCUACUCUCUAUUCCCAUAUUAUCACCCAUUGUUAUCUUACCUUUAAUAUUGUUCUUAUUUAAUUCUACCAUCUUUCCUAUUUACACAUAUCUAUCUAUCUUGGUUAAGUUACAGCGUAGUUGGUUCUCCCGAUUCCCUGUGGAUACAAUAAGACCUUUAACCGGGUAAAAGCUACAACAGUAUCCGUGCGCUUGCGGAUUUAUCUGUGUGCGUAUAAAUACCAUAGUACACUCUAGUGCCAUGCUGGGGAUGACAACCUAGUAUUCAAGUGGUGUUUGCAAGUGUCAACACCUCUCAACCCUAAUUCAUUGUUCCUCAAGGGAGAAGAAGCCUCUGGUCAAGCCUAGAGCCACCACAUCAAUUAGACAUCUAGAUUAGCAUAGCUACAUAGGAUUAGAACUAGGAGUCAAUCUUCGAUUCGUUUCCGGAUCUGUCAAGAGGAUUCUUAGUUCUCUAAUUAUUCUUCUAAUUGUUUAUCUUUGUUCUUCAUUAUUAUGAAUAUGACUUUGUUCUAUUUCAAUAUAUUGCUUAUGACUUUGCUCUACUUGUUUAUAUUCAAGAUUAUAUUGUUCUUAGUGUAUCAUAGUUAUAUACUUGGCUUAGUUAGAUUGGAUCUAUAUACAUGUUUAGGAUCGUAUAGCGUUUAUCCAUAGGAUCCAUGGGUAAAUGAUAGAUAUUGUGUAGGCGUGGUGCUUAUACCGUAUUUAUCUGCGAUUGUACCCAAUAUGCCAGAUCGUGGGGUAGUUCGUGAUAGUGACAACUUCAUUGAUUCUUAUAUAGUAUCCCUCUCGUGUAUUGGGCUGGCAGAGCAACAUUGUUACAGGGGAGUGAUUACGAUGUUUAUCAUAUUCCUUGCUAAUAUCACUAUGUAUGGGCGUAGUCUUGUCUCACAAUGAUUGCUAAGUAUGCUUGCACUAACUAUGAUAAUGCUAGACUAUAUAGUUGAGAAUAACUUAGGAAAUAUUCUUGUAGUUCGUUCUAAUUCCAUGCUAAUGACUUGCUAGAAUAUCUAAUUGAGGUGCUUAUCAUAUUUAUUAUGUGGCUAAGUUAUGCUGAUCAGAUUAAUUUUCUUUGUCACUAUUUAUUACUUUAUAUCCUUUAUGUGACACUUACCCCUGUAUGAAAGAGUUAGAUAAAUGUUCUCAAUUAUACAUGCAAUGAUAGAUACCCAAUCUCAUAUUCCAUUCUAUAAUCAACAUUGAUGAUUGCUAAUCCCUUCCCAGUGGUAAAAAUAUAAAUAACGAUGCCUAGAAUACUUCCCGGUUAAAAUGCUACAUCGGUAUUAAUCUGUGCGCUUGUAGAUCCCAUUCAUUAUUUAUUUAGAUGAGCAAUUGCAUAUUUCAAUACUGCGUCUAUCAUAUCAUGCUAGGGAUGACAACUUGGCUUAAGUGGUAUGAGGGAUAGGUUUGGCAUUUUUCGCACCAUUAUCAGAAUUAGAAAACUAAGUCUUGUCACACCCAUAUUUUAAGAACAAAAUAGGAUGCAUAUAAGACUCAUAUGUGCCCCAGAAACAGUCGCACACAUAAGUAGAUAAAUCUCAAAUGUACCAUUGCAGUGUUUAUUACAUAGCGGAACAAUAAUAAAUCACAUAGUCUUACACAAAAAUAAUAUGAGAUAAACAACGCUCUUGACGGAAGCACCACACAGGGACACUGUUGACUGGUUGACUCCAAACCUAGUACUCAUAACGGUAAUCCUCAUUCCAGUCAUCUUCAUUAUCAUAUCCUGAGGUGUUAGGAAAUUGCAAGAGUGAGCACAUAUCGUACUCAACAAGUAUAACCAGGGGUUCAUGAGGCUCAAAUAGCUGACACUGGUUUGACUGCAUUUAGCUUUUAAUAGUGGAUAGCAUGUUUACUCAUUGGAUAGCAAAUCUCAAGGUAGCAUUAUUAAAUCCCAUAACCACAUGAUCAAUGUAUACAAGAAUUAAGAAUAACACAUAUAAACAACAUAAUAAACCAUCAUUUAUUAUCAUUAUUCACGUUCAUCAGUGUCCAUCUAUUCCGUCAGUUUUCCGAGCCGCCCGUAUCUGUGGGCACGGCUAGUAUACCAUAUUUAACACUCUGCAGAGGUUGUACAUCUUUACCCAUGAGUCGUGAUUUACCCUUUCGCCCGAGGUUGCAAGUCUCUGAACCCCCUUCCUAGGGAGGUCGGCAGGGAUCACUAUGAAGCCUUUCAAAGGUUUCGUCUAACAAGUUAGGGCGAUUAGAUUCACUCGGCACGCAGAUAUAGAGCCUCCCUUCCAUGGCACAUAACCCGCAGCCUAUACACAUGGACAGAGGCCACACUAUACCCAACGUGUCUAGCCAUUCUUACGCCAUUUAAGGUAACCACUAACAAGCUAGAAAAGGUCAUACUGAGCUAAAACCAGAGCCAUAUAGCCCUCAUGGUUGUACGAAUUGUCCCAGCUUUUGCCAAGGGAUAAGUCCUUAUGGAGGGUCAAGAUCAAUCUAGCAAAAGCUAGAGUUCUUUCCACCCUUUAUGUUCAAGUUGCUAGAAAGCUUAUUUUAUUGUUUAUUGUACAUUCAAAUAUUCAUGUUACAAGAUCAUGGGUUAAUAUUCAAGCACUAGCAAGAACUACCCAAAUGCAUAUCCAAAAUAGGUAAUAAGGAAUUCAGGAUAACAAUCAUCUAUGAUUUUGCUAAGGUCAUCAAGGUGGACACAUGCAUAUGAUAAAUAUUGUAUUAAUUGUGUAUAGGUAACAAGGAUGAUCCCAAGUUAUACUUGCCUUGCUCAAAGCUCUCCUGAGCCUGCUGGUCUUCAAAGGCUUGGUCUUGAUCACCAACGUACGGCUCACCGUCUAUUUCCAAACAUUAAUCAACAACACGCAAUCCAAUGUAGACAAUCAUACACAAAGCAAACAACUAUAAUUAGAACAUUACACCAAACAGUAGUAAAACAAAUUUAAAAGUUUACCAAAAUAUUCUAUGCAGCUCUACGAUCACACAAACGUAAAGUUCACGAAAAUCGGAAUUAAAACGGAGUAGUUAUGCAAUUUCCAAGAUUUCCUAUAGAGAAAUAAUUAAUUAAAUGCUACUGCAGAACUAAAAAGUUUCAAAACAGUAAACUAAUACUUCUAACAUGUAGGGAUCGUAAAUACGAAUCCAAUGGAAUUUGAAUGGACAAAAACGGAGUUAAAAUGAGCAUUUUAUAAGCAAAACAAAUCCAGUGGCAAUUCUAUAAUUAGCUAAAAACGUAUUUAGCUUCAUCCCGAACGAAAAUACGCUUUCUACUCAGCAACGCGUAUUUUCCGGAGGGCGCCAAGGACCGCGGGCGAAUUACAAAAGAACACACGGACUCUUUAGAAAGAUUUCCAACGAAGGGGUAUCUUCAUUUGCUGGCCAUCCGAUCUCCAUCCGACGGCCGAGAUUUAGCAACGCGUAUUUUCCGGAGGGCGCCAAGGACCGCGGGCGAAUUACAAAAGAACACACGGACUCUUUAGAAAGAUUUCCAACGAAGGGGUAUCUUCAUUUGCUGGCCAUCCGAUCUCCAUCCGACGGCCGAGAUUUCUCCAGGGGUUAACAGCGGCGGCGGCCGACCAGCUUCCUGGUCUCCGGUGCGGUGGCGCCAUUGUUGCCACUGUUGAUAUUUGGUAACGCAAUUAGAAAAUGAUCCGCAAGCGCACGGAUAUCGGUGAGCAUUUCACCCAGGAGGUUUUCCAGAGUAUCGUAUUUAUAUUUUUACCACUGGGAGAAAGGGUGCAUCUGACUAACCAAAUCUAUUGCUUCUACCCCUUUAGGCUACAAAGAAUGUCUCUCGAUGUGAGUGAUGUAUAGAGAAGACUACAACCGUAGUCUCAUUCUAACCUUGGUAAGGAUAAUCUACUGUUCUAUUGGGGAGGCUCACGGAAUCUAGACAACACAAAGGAUGUUCGACCCGCACCUAUAACCCUACCCGUCCUGCUAACGAGAUGUGAUCUACAAAGGUAACUCGGAAAUGUCACGUUCCUCGCUACUACCACGGUCCAGCUAGUCAGGGGAUAUCUAUGAGUACCCUAGCCUAAACACCACGUUUACGCUAACAAGUGAUUACUCUAAUACUCAACCGGAAGAGGAUUAAAGUAAACUCAUAAACCAAAGAACAAUAAAACAAGAACUUACUAGUAUUAGAAGUCGAAUUACUGAAGAAUCUUAGAAGCAAGCCUUGGGUUAGGAGACUUGAUCCCGUAGGUACAACUCGGAGUAGACACCGACAGGCCGGCCUUCCUCCGAUCCACACCUCCACUCUAUCUCUCUCAAUCUAGUAGAAACUAGAAGAUCUAUUUCUACUUUACAUUGGAUGCUAAGCCUAAAAAGAAAUAUUAUUUAGAGAAGAGGUUUUCCUUCGAGGGCACCCCUCAAUCUCUAUGAUAAUUUCUUGUCUUCUCCAGGGCCAGGGGGGCCUUGCUUAUAUAGUCCUCCACUUCUAUGCGUUUUUGGGUCGAUAGGCGAGGUGGUACUAUGUUUUCCUUGAUCCAAUAGGUCGGUGGAACGUCGUGUGCGAAGAGAGUCCGGAACGGAGUCCAGAGGGGGGCGGGCGCCCAGGUCCUCAGGGCGGGUGCCCUGGGCCUGGCCCCUUUCGGGCUCCGCUUCCUUCCCGUGGCUUCUAGAGUCUUCUAGAUGGUAGAAAAUUGCGCGGUGGGUUGAUAUCUCUAUGUAAUCCCGACAUGUGGGCCUUUCUUCCUUAUUUCCUGAUAACCCCCUGCAGAAAUAGACAAACACCAAAACUCGUGGAAUUCUGUCAGAUAAAACCCUAAGUCUAGAUGUUGAUUUCAUUUGGAUCCUUUUCUUUGUUUAUUUGAUAAUUAAAUUUGAUACUUAAGGACCGUCAACAAACUCCCCCAAGCUUACCUCUUGCUCGUCCCUGAGCAAGGAUAGACUCAGCUAUGGAUCAUAAAUUGUUGCAAUAUUUUUAAAAAUUGAUGUACACAUGCUUUUUAAAUAAGAUCUCAUCUCUGAGUUAGAGUAAACUGUCAAGACUUAAAACUUACUUACUUUACCUUUCACCAUGGGACUUGUAACCGUCACUUCUGUCUUGAGUGGUUAAAAGAUAGAACAGUCUAGCCAAGUGCCAUGUCUCUUAUUCUUGAUCAGCUAUAGCUCUAGAGUUUUUGCAGAUUUUCAAAUAAAACUCAGAGAUUCCUUGUAUGAUUCUCUCAGAUCUCUCUUUUGUGGUAUUUUUGGAUCCUUACCAAGGCAGUAAUGGGAUAUGCCUUCUCUCAAUAUAUGUAGUAUUUGUGGUAUGAAGCAUAGUGACAUUGUCUUCUCUCUCACCCUACUCUAAUAAGGCUUUAAUAUCUGGAGCUCAUAGGUGGGAGAUAAAGUAUACAUACUUACAAGACAUUUAUUGCAUAGUCAAACCAUGGAUCUAAAGAAACAAAUCAAUAAGCCAAAUCAAGAUGUGCAUGUGUGGCGAAUGAAUGGUGUAUGGUGAUGAUGGUGAUAACAAUGGUGGUGGAAGUCUAAUUCUACUUUGCUCUUUGAGGGGAUACAUACCUUCCUUGCUUUUGAAACUUUAUGAGGAGAAUGAGAUGCUCUUCUUUUUUUUUCUCAGGUGGGUAUCUUGCACCCCUAAUUCUACUGUCGGACACUUGUCCAUUUUUACCUCUCGUCUCACUUUUUCUUUUCUUUCGAGGUUCCGAGCACUUGCUCCUUUUUAUUUCCUCGUAUCUCUUUUUUUUCUUUUCUUUCUUUUUUUUAGAGCACUCAUCUCCUGAAAUAAUAUAGCAAGUGGUAGUAACCAGGAUAACUCGAGCAUUUAUUUCACAGGGAAUAACAGGGAUAGGAUAAUAUUUUUGGAUAUUCUCUCCUGGAUUAGGAGUAGAAUAAUUUUUGGGUGAAUGUGGAGAUGGAAAUGAGUGGAUAUAUUUGGAUGGUACUUCCGGAGUAGAAGUAGCAUGUAUGAGUGAACGUGCAAGUGAAUCUUGAUUUAACCAUAUGACAAGCUCCUAAGGGUCUACACAGCUUGACCACACUCAAUGCUCAUAAGCAGAAAAAAGUAAAUAUGUGGCUCAAAGUCUAGCAAGCAUGUAUAUAUGGCUGUGGUAGGAAUUUAAACUCUCAUCAUAUAGGAACUCAUCAUGUGUUAUUUUAAAGAUUUUUAAAGAUAAAAUUCUCCAGAAUUCUAGCAUCUCUAGGAACAGAUAAACAGCAGCUCAACCUUCCCAUAUCGUAUCCGUUAACAACUUAGACUUCAGAUCAAGUUUUUAUCCCACAAGUUUAGGUCUAGAGCAAGCCUUAAAUUAUAACAGUUAUAUCUAAACUCGAGAGAGAACUUCAAAUUUGCAAAUUAGGCAGAGCAACUAUUCAUCAUAUCCAUGCUUAAGUUUUAUUAUUAAGAUUCAGAUUAGCAUAGCCACUUUAUUAAACACACUAAGCAAAAUAUAUAUAAGCAUAAAAUCUUUAUUUGGUUUUUUAUAGUUAUGUGUAUUUAUAUUCUAAUAUAGUAUAAGUAUAAAGAUAGAUAGAAAUACUUAUCGUGAUAAAUGGGGGUGCUCUCCCCCAAGCUGAAUUUUGACGUAAUUUCUCUUGAUGUAGCUAGCACGUGGCAGAGGUGUGUUUGAAAGUCAGCAGUAUUUUGACAGCGAUUAGAAUGUCCUCCGUCUGCUAGUCUUCUUGAUUCUUAAAUUCUGUGGAGCUCAAAUAGACAACAAAGCUUGUGGAACUGAUUAAGUGUUAGCAUAAAUAUCUAGCCUGUAUCAUGUUGAGACUCCUUAAUAAAUAUUACUCCCUGUUUUUAUAUUUUUGUUUUUAUAAAGUAGAAAAAUAUUUAUUUUAUUUUUAUGCCACCACAGUGAAUGUACUUAUGGGUUUUAUGCCACUCGUCUACUCACAUGGGGCUUACAGUUUUUUUUUCACAUUUUUAUUUUCUUUCUAGGAUAAUACGAACAUGAUUAACUAAGUAAACUAUUUGAAAUAAUUAAAAGGGAAAGGAUAACUACCAAGUUUACCUCUUGGCAAGGCGUUCGGUGUUUUUAAGUCCUCCGAAUGGGACUCCUUGUGUUUUCAGUCAUCCUGGGAUUCGCUAGGUGGCGUAGUCGGUGAUUCCGGUGGCGCCUCCUCUUUGUGUAUAACUAUGUUCUCUUUCCACACCUGACUCGGUGCUACGGUCUCCUCAGGACAGUUCUGUUCAAGUUGUAUGUCUUCAGUCCUUAUCACUUCUCCUUCGUAGUCUACCCAUCCGUCCUUGAUGAUUUUACUCCUCUGGUUGCGGUUGCGUUGUCUUCUUCUUGUCCUGACCUGCUUAGAGUCUUCAACUAUAUAGUUAGGGUCAAUAAAAUAGCGGCGUACCUUCUUAGAGGGGAAGUGCAUGUGGACUUCUCCGGUUCCAAUGUAGAUGAUAACUUUGAUAGUGUUGAUGAACGGUCUUCUAAGGAUGGUGGGUGGAUCAUACUCGUCUUCUCCCAUGUCAAUGACCUGAAAAUCAUCUGGAGCUGAAUAUAUUGGUUGUAGGGGCAUGGUUCCAUGCAAGAGCUGAUAAGUGACUACGGCCAUUAUGUUGUCGUCAGAUCCGGUGUCGUAGAGUGUCUUCUAAAAAGAGUAUCCAUUGUUUGUGCAUUUGAUUCUUGGAACACCAGGGUCGUCCUUCUUGAUCAAGAAAGGUGACUUGUGUCGACGAUCUUGACCUCCUUGAACUGCAGUGACCAUCUUAGCUGACUCUAUCCACAUUUGCUUGUUCUUGUUUCCUCCUGUUGGUCCUCUUUCUUGGUUGAUGUCAGGGUUGCUCUGAAGUUUGUGUCGUCUUGUUCUUGAAGGAAAGUCUCCUUCUUCCCCUUGAUGUAGAGACUGAUCUUGGCAGCAUUAGCGUAGAUGACAGCUCUGGUGUUUAGGAAUGGCCUCCCUAAGAUGAUGGGUGCCCUCUCCUCAGUGCCAGUCUCUAUCACCACGAAGUUUGCUGGAGUGUGCAAGGUACCAACUCGGACAUAGAGGUUCUUCAAUAUUUCCUUUGGGAAACUAAGUGUCUGAUCUCCAUUGUGUUUGUGCUCGUAGAUCCCGGUUCUUCACUUGAUGGAAUCUGGGAGUUGUAAAACGCCUUCACGUUUCUCAAAAUGUGUCCUGCUCAUAGAGACAAGGCAGAGAUCAAGUGCAUGGGCCCUGUUGGUGGAAAACACCAACAGAACCAAAAGUGUAUUUGUUCUUCUCUAACCUUAAGCAUAGUGAGCAAGACAAAGUUGAUGGAUCAUGAGUGUAGCAUUUAAAACAUUUGUUAGAUCAGAUGGCUCAACCUAAUGGAAAGAUAAUCUAUCUAUAUUUAUGUUUUGUUUAUAUCUUUCAAAGAUUGAAUGUGCAAUACUUUAGCUUAUAUGAUUAGGAGUGUGGGAUCACGAAGGUAGUACUAAGAACAAAGAUUAAAGGACUAAACAUGUUGAAUUAAUUGGGUUGGUAAAUUUGGAGUUAUAAAUCAUACAUGUUUGUCUCUUUAUUUAUGUGAAUGCCAGAACCAAGGAGAAGCUUAUAAAAGUGUUGGUCAAGUACCUUAAGAUGUUACCUUACUUGAAGAGUGAUGGUACAGUAUCACCUUGUGGAAGCUUUCCUUUCUUAGCGGUUGUGUAUCGUGUUUGUGGCACUCUCCAUGAAUCAUCUCUUUAUGAUGAAUGAGCUAUGUCCUUCUUGUGUAAAUUGUUAAACUUCAUGUGUCUCCUUUAUCUCCAAUGAGUUUGUAUCUCAGGACUUCCCAGGUUGAUAUUGAAAGUUUUCCUGCAGGGGUUAGUCCAACAAAAUAUCCCAUAUCUACUAUAGCAUACUAUCGUCUCAAAAAUCAACCUAGACACCAUGUCUAAUUUGAUUUAGGAGGGCAUUUUAACCUAAGCACCAUGCUUAAUUUAAAAAUCCUUUGGAAGUGAGAUCAUCAUUCCUAAACUAAGCACCACGCUUGAUUUAAGAGAUAAAUGAAACUACUCCAAACCUAGACAUAUACUAAAGCAAAUAAAGGUAGCAUGAGAGCAUUUAUAGCGAUCUACUCAAGUGGAGGUGAAGUAGUGUAAUUAGUACUUAACAAAUUGAGCAUCUCUCAAAGGUAGGGACAACCAACGUAGCAACAUGGCAAAGGAUGUUUUUAUGUAAAGUACUCCCCCAAGCUUGAAUUUUGCAAAAUUCAAGUUUGGAUGAAUUUAAUUCAAUGUUGUGUGAUGGUUGGUUGGACAUACCUUGUGCUUGUUAUUCAUCCGAUCUUCUUGCUCCAAUCCUGGAAAGGUUAGUGACAAGAAUACCCGAAGGAAUAUUUCUACAAUAUGCUCAAUACACAAGGCAAUGUUGCAAAUAAGUGCUUGUUUUAGGACACUAAGCUUGUCCUUGGGAAACCAUCAAUUAACUCAACGAGAUCUGCAAUAUUUAUUAUAGACAUAUGCAUCGACAACCACUCUUUUAAAGUUUUUAUAAAUAGAAAAGAAGAGAGGGUUGGAUAUCUCAAAUGUGACAAGGAUGGAGAGACUAAUUGAUUGGAGAGAUGUUUUAUAUGAGCAAGGACUGGGUGAGGUAUUUAUGAAAUAACUUUCAUGCUCACUGUUGUUUCUCUCAUUCUCAAACUCCAAGGAUGUUUCUUCAUGAAUGUUUAAAAUUCCUCUAGGAUUGUCUCUCAAGUUUGUUUUAUCUAUCCAUUCAAUGGUGAUAGCACAUGGAUUUUUAAUGCCCUCUAGCCAUUGAUGCUGCUCUUCUCGAUCCUCCUUGUAGUCUUGGUGACUCUUAUGAAUGGGAUGUCUAGAUAGAUUCAUAGGAUUAUCGGGAGGUUCAAGAGAAAAAGCGUAGUAGAAAUUAUUAGGCUCAAGGAUGGGUUGGAUAGCCGAAUCAUGGGAUUGGAAUGUUUGGAAAUCGGCUAUUGAAACUUCCUUUCCUCGUCUGGGAGAUGAUUCCUUCUCUAUCUCUAUGAUUUUUCUAUGAAGACUAGUACAAGAAGGAUGUCCACAAAUGAAGACAUACCUUCCUUUACUAAUAGAUAAAGAAAGAAAGACUCUACCAAAGGUUAUAUGAUUAAGACCAAUGUGAAAAUAUCGAGAAAAAACAUGGUCUUGUAGGGCUAGGUCUAAACCAGAAUUUAUAAAAAGAUUAAUAGAUUCCCUAGGUGUAGCUAAAAGUGCAUUAUCUUUUUGAUUAAUAGAUAGGACCUCGGCUAUAGAAAAGGGUUGGUUUUGACCUAUUGCAAUCAACUCCGGACACAGAUCAUAAUUAGGGGCAGAACGUGUUGACUCCCAUGGUCUAUGGAUGGUCUCCGAAGGUGCAAAGAAUUCAAUAAUAGGUAUGGAAUUUAAGUUAUCCAUAAAGAUAAAAAUAAAAAGAUAAAAGAAUAAAAGUAUAAAAGUAUAAUACAAGAUAAUAGCAAGACUCAAAGUUAUCUCAGCAAACCGUCUUUCUCCCCGGCAACGGCGCCAGAAAUGCUUGUUGAUAUUUGGUAACGCAAUUAGAAAAUGAUCCGCAAGCGCACGGAUAUCGGUGAGCAUUUCACCCGGGAGGUUUUCCAGAGUAUCGUAUUUAUAUUUUUACCACUGGGAGAAAGGGUGCAUCUGACUAACCAAAUCUAUUGCUACUACCCCUUUAGGCUACAAAGAAUGUCUCUCGAUGUGAGUGAUGUAUAGAGAAGACUACAACCGUAGUCUCAUUCUAACCUUGGUAAGGAUAAUCUACUGUUCUAUUGGGGAGGCUCACGGAAUCUAGACAAUACAAAGGAUGUUCGACCCGCACCUAUAACCCUACCCGUCCUGCUAACGAGAUGUGAUCUACAAAGGUAACUCGGAAAUGUCACGUUCCUCGCUACUACCACGGUCCAGCUAGUCAGGGGAUAUCUAUGAGUACCCUAGCCUAAACACCACGUUUACGCUAACAAGUGAUUACUCUAAUACUCAACCGGAAGAGGAUUGAAGUAAACUCAUAAACCAAAGAACAAUAAAACAAGAACUUACUAGUAUUAGAUGUCGAAUUACUGAAGAAUCUUAGAAGCAAGCCUCGGGUUAGGAGACUUGAUCCCGUAGGUACAACUCGGAGUAGACACCGACAGGCCGGCCUUCCUCCGAUCCACACCUCCACUCUAUCUCUAUCAAUCUAGUAGAAACUAGAAGAUCUAUUUCUACUUUACAUUGGAUGCUAAGCCUAAAAAGAAAUAUUAUUUAGAGAAGAGGUUUUCCUUCGAGGGCACCCCUCAAUCUCUAUGAUAAUUUCUUGUCUUCUCCAGGGCCAGGGGGGCCUUGCUUAUAUAGUCCUCCCCUUCUAUGCGUUUUUGGGUCGAUAGGCGAGGUGGUACUAUGUCUUCCUUGAUCCAAUAGGUCGGUGGAACGUCGUGUGCGAAGAGAGUCCGGAACAGAGUCCAGAGGGGGGCGGGCGCGCAGGUCCUCAGGGCGGGCGCCCUGGGCCUGGCCCCUUUCGGGCUCCGCUUCCUUCCCGUGGCUUCCGGAGUCUUCUAGAUGGUAGAAAAUUGCGCGGUGGGUUGAUAUCUCUAUGUAAUCCCGACAUGUGGGCCUUUCUUCCUUAUUUCCUGAUAACCCCCUGCAGAAAUAGACAAACACCAAAACUCGUGGAAUUUUGUCAGAUAAAACCCUAAGUCUAGAUGUUGAUUUCAUUUGGAUCCUUUUCUUUGUUUAUUUGAUAAUUAAAUUUGAUACUUAAGGACCGUCAACAGCCACCACGAAGGUCGCCGGCGUUCUUCAAUCUCGUGUUUUUGGCCACCAAACUCCGAACCAAGCGCACGGGUCGAAAGAGGAGGGAGAGGCGAGCUCACCUACGCCGAAAACAAGGACGAAGAAGACGCGGGGACGGAGCAGUGCUCGGUAUGGCGGAAGACAACUCGGCGAGAUCUGAAACUCGAGAUUUACGAAGAUAGGGCACGGCUUGGAUGAUUUGGAUGUGAAAAGGGAGAUGCGGGGCGGCUCAGGGGCUUUAUAGGUGUCUUAUGCGGGAAGUAAUCCUGUCCAAAUCGGGAUUGAUUCGCUCAGAUUUCCUUCGGCGGUGUCCUGCUCAGGUACGCGCGUUGGGGAAGAAAAGAGGGAGGGAGAGGAGGCUGACACGCGGGACCCAUCUGGCGGUGAAGGGGGAGGUGGGACCCAGACGACGGUGAGAGAAGAGGCGGGUGGGAAGCUGGGUUGCUUGCCGGGCCGAGCGCAGGGUGGAAGGGGGAGUGGGCCGCGUGCGAGGGAGGGGGAAAAACAGGCCGGGGGUGGGUCUGGCUGGGUUUACCUUUUCUUUUUUUUUCCUUUUUUGUUUUAUUUUUCCUAUUUCUUCUUUGUUUUCUAAAGUCUUUUUGAAAAGAGAUUUUAAAUCCUUUUGGGAGAAAUACAAAAUACAUAGACAAAAAGCAAGCAAGCAAUUAAAUAAAUAAAUUAAUUCCAACAUGAAUGCACCACCAUGUUUCUAAACUUAUAAUAAAUUUUAAUUUUGACCAAAACUAUUUUAUUUACUAGAUUAAAUGCUCACCAAAAAUGCUUAAUUAAAUCAAAUUAAUUCCUAUUAAUUGAAAACAAAUUUUUGGGUGUUACAAAUUCUACCCCGUGUUGACGGUCCUUAAGUAUCAAAUUUAACUAUCAAAUAAACAAAGAAAAGGAUCCAAAUGAAAUCAACAUCAAGACUUAGGGUUUUAUCUGACAGAAUUCCACGAGUUUUGGUGUUUGUCUAUUUCUACAGGGGGUUAUCAGGAAAUAAGGAAGAAAGGCCCACACGUCGGGAUUACGUAAAGAUAUUAACGUGCCGCGCAAUUAUCUUACAUCUAGAAGACUCCAGAAGCCACGAGACCGAAGCGGAGGCGAAACGGGGCCAGAGACAGGGCGCCCGCCCUGUCCUACUGGGCGCCCGCCCACCUCCUGUGGCCAAUCACGCUCAAUCUCGCGGAUUAUGUUCCACCGACCUAAAGGAUCAAGAAUAACCGUUCAAUCAAUGUCGGUUUGAUCCGACGGCCCAGGUUCACUUGAGGGGACUAUAAAACCAGACCCCCUGGCCCCUGGAGGAGACAACCCCUUGAUCAUUAUUCAUUAUUCAUAGAAAGAGCAAAAGCUAGGGUUUAGAGAUGAGAGCUCUCCUCUCUUCUCUAAACUAGAGUAGAUCUAGAUAGUAGCGAGAUGGAGAGCGAAGGAGGAUUAGAGGAGAGGCCGGCCUGUCGGUUCUUCCUCCGGUUGUACUUCGCCAUGAUCAAGCUCUAAUCAAGCUUGCUCAUGGGAUGACUCUGGUAAUCUACUUCUAAUUCAUUAUGCAAUUACUAAUCAUGUAUGUUCUAGUUCACAACUCUUUUGAGUACUUCUAAUCUAUAGGACCCUAUAGGUUAGAGUUGUAGUAUAGGUGUAAGCGUGGUGCUUAGACCUAGAUUACUUGUGGAUAUCCCCUGACUAGCUGGAUCGUGUGGUAGGCCGCGUAGGUGACAGUUACGUUGGUCCCCUGUAGUCCACCUCUUGUUAGCAGGACGGGUAGGGUUUAUCGGCCUAUGGAUAAGCAUCCUUUGUGGUGUACUCUUAUCACAUGGUUCGUCCCAGACAUAGACAUACCCCUUUGAAGUAGAGAAACCAUAGUUAUCCUCUCUAUUCUGCUACCAUCGCCUAUAUACUAGAAUUGCUCUACUCUCUAUUCCCAUAUUAUCACUCACUGUUAUCUUACCUUUAAUAUUGUUCUUAUUCGAUUCUACUAUCUUUCCUAUUCACACCAAUUUACUUAUCUUGGUUAAGUUAGAGCGUAGAUCAGUUCUUCCGUUUCCCUGUGGAUACGAUAAAACCUUUAACCGGGUAAAAGCUUCAACGGUAUCCGUGCGCUUGCGGAUUAUCUGUGUGCGUAUAAAUACCAUAGUACACUCUAGUGCCACGCUGCGGAUGACAACCUAGUAUUCAAGUGGUGUUAGCAAGUGUCAACAAGCAUUUUUGGCGCCGUUGCCGGGGAAACGGUUGCUGAGUUGACUACGAACUAGUUUAAUCAUUUUAUAAAAAAUAAAUAAAUAAAUAAAUAAAUAUAUUUUCCUUUUAUCCUUUGCCUCAUCUCUGCUAUUCUUUCUUCUUAUCUAAUCCUUGAUCUCUGGUCUAUUAUGAAUUCAAAUAUGUCUAUCUAUGAAUUUCAUUUCAGAAGAAGUUCUUUGCCCAAAACUUUCGAUUCCAGAAGAAGUUCUUCUAAUUCACUUUUUUGAGGGCCUUAGUAGGAAAAAUAAGCAAACCCUUCAUGCGGCCUCUAGAGGAUCUUUCCACCACCUAUCCGCUAGUAAAGCUUGGAAUUUGAUUGAUUUAAUGAGCGGAAAGUCUCCUAGCUUUUAUAUCCCUGAGAAAGAGACAGUACCAGUUCCUAGACAAGAAGAAGAAGUUUUGAUAGCCAGAUCACAACCACUUCAAUUCCAAACUUUAGCUAUCGAUCCUAAACCAUCAAUACCCCAAAAUUCUUCAAGGGAGGGAGGAAUUCCGAACUUAAAUCUUUCAGAUACUAAUGGUUUAGACUUUUAGUUCCAUAAGAGACCUUCAAGCAGGGAUAAUUCAAAUCCUCGCAAUAAUGGUUCUCUUAGAGAAUGUCCUGGUUCCUGUUAUGAAGAAGUCGAGGAUGACAUAUCAAGUGAAGGAGAGCUAAGCCAUAUUGAAAAUUCUAACACCUCCCCUUUCCUGAUUACAAGUUCUAAAUGGCUAGAAUGUGUAGAAUGGAUGGAUAAGGAAGAAGCCUUAAUGAAUUCUUACUUUGGAUCAAUUUCAAAUGGUGAGUUCUUGACUCCCUUUGAAGAUGGGAUUCAUCCAACUAUAGAAGAGGACAUAAGUGAGACCAAUCCAAGAGAAACUCUGAACAUUCAGAUUGGAGACGAAGAUAACAUUAAUGAGGAUGGAAUUUAUUUCAUAGCCACUUUGUUUACUCCAUGCUCAUAUGCAAUAUCUUCCCAAUCUAUUGGUCUCUCCAACAUCACCACAUUUGAGAUCUCCAACCCCCUCUUCCUUUCUAUUUAUAAAAACUUUAAAAGGGCGGUUGUCGAUGCAUAUGUCUAUAAUAAAUAUUGCAGAUCUCGUUGAGUUGAUCUAGAUAUAGGUUGGCGUCAGAGGGGAAACCACUUCGCCAACAUAAACUGAUGGUUUCCCAAGGACAAGCUUAGUGUCUUAAAAUAAGCAUUGAUCAGAUCGUAACAUGAGCUUUUAAUUAUUUACAACAUUACCUGGUGUAUUGAGCAUAUAAGGAUAAUCGUAAAAAUAUUCCUUCGGGUAUUCUUGUCACUAACCUUUCUAGGAUUGGAGCAAGAAGAUUGGAUGAAUGACAAGCACAAGGUAUGUCCAACCAAUCAUCAUAUAACAUUGAAUUAAAUUCAUCCAAACUUGAAUUUUGCAAAAUUCAAGCUUGGGGGAGUACUUUACAUAAAAACAUCCUUUGCCAUGUUGCUAUGCUGGUUGUCCCUACCUUUGAGACAUGCUCAAUUUGUUAAAUACUAAUCACACUACUUCAUCUCUACUUGAGUAGAUCUCUAUAAAUGCUGUCAUGCUACCUUUGUCUAUUUACUAGCAAGUGUUGGUUUGGAAGUACUCGCCAUACUUCCAUUGGCAUUUAAAUUAAGCAUGGUGCUUAGGUUAAAUAGCCUUCCUUAAUCUGAUUAGACAUGGAGUCUAGUUCGGUUAUUGAACUAAAAUUGCUUGUGUAGACAUUGGUAUAUUUUUGUCGGACUAACCCCUGCAGAAAAACUUUCAAUAUCGAUUUGGGAAGUCCUGAGAUAAACUCACAUCAGAGACGAAGAGAGUGACACAUGAAGUUUAACAAUUUGCACAAGAAGGACAUAGCUCAUUCAUCAUAGAGAUAUGAUCCAUGGAGGGUGCCAUGAACACGAUGCACAACCGCUAAGAAAGGAAAGCUUCCACAAGGUGAUACUGUACCAUCACUUUUCAAGCAAGGUAACAUCCUAAGGUACUUGACUAUCACUUUUAUAAGCUUCUCCUUGGUUCUGGCAUUCAUAUAAAUAAAAGAGACAAACGUGUAUGAUUUACAACUCUAGAUUAACCAACCCAACUGAUUCAACAUGUUUAGUCCUUUAAUCCUUGUUCUUAGUACUACCUCCAUGAUCCCACACUCCUAAUCAUAUGAGCUAAAAUGUUACACAUUCAAUCAUUGAGAGAUAUAAAGAAAAAGACAUAUACAUAGAUAGAUUAUCUUUCCAUAAGGUUGAGCGAUCUGAUCUGACAAAUGUUAUAAGUGCUACACUCAUGAACUUAUCAUCCAUCAACUUUGUCUUGCUCACUACGCUUAAGGUUAGAGAAGAACAAAUACACUUUUGGUUCUGUUGGUGUUUUCCACCAACAGGGCCCAUGCACUUGAUCUCUGCCUUGUCUCUAUGAGCAGGUACACUACGAGCACAAACACACUGAGCAAGAUACUGCUAACACCUCACUUCGAACUGCUGGGCAAACGAAGAACAUGGGUGACACCGUAUUAAAAGGUGCAGACAUCAAGGUCCGCACCUGAAUCAAAUGACGCACCUAAAGAAUGAACACGGUGAGAAGUCUUGUCAAGAAGACUUAAAACAUUGAACCCUCGCCGAAAGGUAAGAUUGGUAGUUAUCCAUAUUUAUCCUUUCUGCAUUCUCUUUUCCCUUUAAUUAUUUACUUUCCUUAAAUAGAUUUUUAGUUAAUCAUGCUAUCUUGAAAAGAAAAUAAAAAUGUUAAAAAAUACUAAGCCCCAUGUGAGUAUACGAGUAGCAUAAAACCCAUAAGUACCUUCACUGUGGUGGCAUAAAAAUAAAAUAAAUAUUUCUUUUCUACUUUAUAAAAUAAAAAUAUAAAAAGAGGGAGUAAUAUUUAUUGAGGAAGCUCAACAUGAUGAAGGCUAGAUAUUUAUGCUAACACUUAAUUAGUUCCACAAGCUUUGUUGUCUAUUUGAGCUCCACAGAAUUUAAGAAUCAAGAAGACUAGCAGACGGAGGACAUUCUAAUCGCUGUCAGAAUGCUGCUGACUUUCAAAUACACCUCUGCCACCUGCUAGCUACAUCAAGAGAAAUUACGUCAAAAUUUAGCUUGGGGGAGAGCACCCCCAUUUAUCUCGCUAAGUAUUUCUACCUAUCUUUAUACUUAUAUUAUAUUAGAAUAUUAAAAUACAUAAACUAUAAAAAAAAACCAAAUAAAGAUUUUAUGCUUAUAUAUAUAUAUACUUUUCUUAGUUUGCUAAAUAAAUAAAUAAAGUUUGCUAUGAAUCUUAAUAAUAAAACUCUAGCAUGGAUAUGAUGAAUAGUUGCUCUGCCUAAUUUGCAAAUUUGAAGUUCUCUCUCAAGUUUAGACAUAACUGUUAUAAUUUAAAGCUUGCUCUAGAUCUAAACUUGUGGGAUGAAAACUUGAUCUGAAAUCUAAGUUGUUAACGGAUAUGAUAUGGGAAGGUUGAGCUGCUGUUUAUCUAUUCCUAGAGAUGCUAGAAUUCUGGAGAAUUUUAUCUUUGAAAAAUCUUUAAAAUGUUGCAUGAUGAGUUCCUGUAUGAUGAAAGUUUAAAUUCCUACCACAGCCAUAUAUACAUGCUUGCUAGACUUUGAGCCACACAUUUAUUAUUUACUGCUUAUGAGCAUUGAGUGUGGUCAAGCUGUGUAGACCCUUAGGAGCUUGUCAUGUGGUUAAAUCAAGAUUCACUUGCACGUUCACUCAUAUAUAUGCUACUUCUACUCCGGAAGUACCAUCCACAUAUAUCCAUCCAUUUCCAUCUCCAGAAUCACCUAAAAAUAUUCUACUCCUAAUUCGGGAGAGAAUAGCCAAAAACAUCUGUGUUUUUUCCUUGUGAAAUAAAUGAGUGCUCUACCACUUGCUAUAUUAUCUCAAGAGAUGAGUGCUCUGAAAAAAAAAGAAGAAAAAAAAAGAGAAUAAAAAAAUAAACGAGGAAAUAAAAAGGGGCAAGUGCCCGGAACCUCGAAAGAAAAGAAAAAAAAGUGAGACGAGAGGUAAAAAUGGAUAAGUGUCCGACAGUACAAGAUACCCACCUGAGUGGAAAGAAAAAGAAGAGCAUCUCAUUCUCCUCAUAAAGUUUCAAAAAGCAAGGAAGGUAUGUAUCCCCUCAAAAGAGCAAAAGUAGAAUUAGACUUUCACCAUUGUUAUCACCAUCAUCACCAUACACUAUUCAUUCGCCACACAUGCACAUCUUGAUUUGGCUUAUUGAUUUGUUUCUUUGGAUCCAUGGUUUGACUAUACAAUAAAUGUCUUGUAAGUAUGUAUACUUUAUCUCCCACCUAUGAGCUCCAGAUAUUAAAGCCUUAUUAGAGUAGGGUGAGAGAGAAGGCAAUGUCACUAUGCCUUAUACCACAAAUACCACAUAUUUUGAGAGAAGGCAUAUACUAUCACUGCCUUGGUAAGGAUCCAGAAAUACCACAAAAGAGAGAUAUGAGAGAGUCAUACAAAGGAAUCUCUGAGUUUUAUUUGAAAAUCUGCAAAAAACUCCAGAGCUAUAGCUGAUCAAGAAUAAGAGACAUGGCACUUGGCUAGACUGUUCUAUCUUUUAACUACUCAAGACAGAAGUGACGGUUACAAGUCCCAUGGUGAAAGGUAAAGUAAGUAAGUUUUAGUUCUUAACAGUUUACUCUAACUUAGAGAUGAGAUCUUAUUUAAAGCAUGUGUACCGUUAAAUUUUUAAGAUAUUGCAACAACUUAUGAUCCAUUGCUGAGUCUAUCCUUGCUCAGGGACGAGCAAGAGGUAAGCUUGGGGGAGUUUGUUGACGGUCCUUAAGUAUCAAAUUUAACUAUCAAAUAAACAAAGAAAAGGAUCCAAAUGAAAUCAACAUCAAGACUUAGGGUUUUAUCUAACAGAAUUCCACGAGUUUUGGUGUUUGUCUAUUUCUGCAGGGGGUUAUCAGGAAAUAAGGAAGAAAGGCCCACACGUCGGGAUUACGUAAAGAUAUUAACGUGCCGCGCAAUUAUCUUACAUCUAGAAGACUCCAGAAGCCACGAGACCGAAGCGGAGGCGAAACGGGGCCAGAGACAAGGCGCCCGCCCUGUCCUACUGGGCGCCCGCCCACCUCCUGUGGCCAAUCACGCUCAAUCUCGCGGAUUAUGUUCCACCGACCUAAAGGAUCAAGAAUAACCAUUCAAUCAAUGUCGGUUUGAUCCGACGGCCCAGGUUCACUUGAGGGGACUAUAAAACCAGACCCCCUGGCCCCUGGAGGAGGCAACCCCUUGAUCAUUAUUCAUUAUUCAUAGACAGAGCAAAAGCUAGGGUUUAGAGAUGAGAGCUCUCCUCUCUUCUCUAAACUAGAGUAGAUCUAGAUAGUAGCGAGAUGGAGAGCGAAGGAGGAUUAGAGGAGAGGCCGGCCUGUCGGUUCUUCCUCCGGUUGUACUUCGCCAUGAUCAAGCUCUAAUCAAGCUUGCUCAUGGGAUGACUCUGGUAAUCUACUUCUAAUUCAUUAUGCAAUUACUAAUCAUGUAUGUUCUGGUUCACAACUCUUUUGAGUACUUCUAAUCUAUAGGACCCUAUAGGUUAGAGUUGUAGUAUAGGUGUAAGCGUGGUGCUUAGACCUAGAUUACUUGUGGAUAUCCCCUGACUAGCUGGAUCAUGUGGUAGGCCGCGUAGGUGACAGUUACGUUGGUCCCCUGUAGUACACCUCUCAUUAGCAGGACGGGUAGGGUUUAUCGGCCUAUGGAUAAGCAUCCUUUGUGGUGUACUCUUAUCACAUGGUUCGUCCCAGACAUAGACAUACCCCUUUGAAGUAGAGAAACCAUAGUUAUCCUCUCUAUUCUGCUACCAUCGCCCAUAUACUAGAAUUGCUCUACUCUCUAUUCCCAUAUUAUCACUCACUGUUAUCUUACCUUUAAUAUUGUUCUUAUUCGAUUCUACUAUCUUUCCUAUUCACACCUAUUUACUUAUCUUGGUUAAGUUAGAGCGUAGAUCAGUUCUCCCGUUUCCCUGUGGAUACGAUAAAACCUUUAACCAGGUAAAAGCUUCAACGGUAUCCGUGCGCUUGCGGAUUAUCUGUGUGCGUAUAAAUACCAUAGUACACUCUAGUGCCACGCUGGGGAUGAAAACCUAGUAUUCAAGUGGUGUUAGCAAGUGUCAACCCCCCGCUUAAAAGAAUCUCGUCCUCGAGAUUGAGCAGUGCAUAAACAAACAACUGUGGCUAUGAUUCUCUCCAAUCAUUCUCUCUUUCCCAAGUUGCUUCUACCUCUAAAAACCGAUUCCAUUGCACUAGCAAAUUCAUGUCUCUAGUCAAGUAACAUACCUGGUAACUUAUCUGAAAAUUUAUUCCCUACACAGUCCUGAAGAUCAACACCAUCAUUCAGCUGAUUCACUGCAGCUGUGGGUAGAGCCUGCACUGCUACAUCAACACUUAUUCUAUCUCCCUUUGGUGUUGUCACAACUACUACUUUCUCUUUGCACUUAAUCUCCGUAGUAUAUUUCUUCAUCCAAUCCAAACCCAAUAUCACAUCUAUGCCUGAGGUUCUCAUAACCAUGGGACUAACCGGGAAAUCUACCCCCCUUAAAGAAAGACUUGCUGAGGGGCAACAAUAAGAAACCGGUAUAGUCCCUCCCGGUGAGUUUACUAGCAUAUGAGUUUUCAUGGCAACUAGUGGAAUGCUAUGAACUCUAACAAAUGCUUGUGAUAUGAAUGUAUGCGAAGCUCCAGAAUCAAAUAAGACUGUAGCGGGGAUAGAGUUGAUACUGAACGUACCCAUCAUAAUCUCCGGUCCCUCUUGUACCGUCUCUGCAGCCACAUGGUUCACCUUUGCUCCAUGAGAAUUAGACUUUUGCUUGUUGUUCUACUGGUUGAAUCUCUCCGGGCAAUCAUAUGACAUAUGACCAUCUUUCCCACAGCGAAAACACCUAGUAGGGGUAUUGGGAGCACUUCUCUUCAUAGAGGUGGCAUUUGAAUUUCCUGAGCGGGGAAUCUACUGACCACUCUGCUGUUGAUUAGGAUUACGCUGAGGUUGUUGGUUGCGAUCCCAUUGACCAACCGGUCCCUGGAACCUCUGUUGAUCGGCUUGCCGCGAAUUGAAACGUUGGCGGUUGUUGCCUCUAGAACCUUGUGCUAGCAUCCUUCUCUUCUUGUCCUGGCCUUUGCGCAUGUUAUCCAACAUGAUAGCACGGUUCACUAAAGCCUGGAAGGUAGGAUAUGUGUUUCCAGCUAGUUGCAACCUAAGUUCAUAGUAGAGACCUUUCAUGAAGAGACGUUGUUUGUUAGCAUCCUCUCUAACUUCGUUUGGGGCAUAGCGAGCCAACUGCUCAAACAUGUCAUGAUACUCAGCCACAGACAUAGAACCCACCCUGAGAGAUCUGAAUUCUUCCUGCUUGAGCUCCAUCAUUCCUUCAUUGAUAUGUCGUGCUCGGAAAUCUCUGCAGAAUUCCAACCAAGUGACAGGAGGAGCAUUGUUGGGACGAGCAGCUUGAUAUGACUCCCACCAUGUCUGAGCUGCCCUCUGAAGCUGUCCAGAAGCAUACAACACCUUCUCCAAGUCAUUGCACUGCGCCAUGUUCAGUUGCCUCUCCACAACACGUAGCCAAUCAUCUGCCUCCAUAGGAUCAGCUAAGUGUGUAAACACCGGAGGUCUUCCUUUCAUAAAUUCACCACGCUUAUCUCUCACAUGAACUGGUGGUGGAGGUUGCUGCUGUAGGUGCUGCAUGAAGACGUGCAUCAUCUCAUUCUGAGUUUGCAUAAGUUCCUCCACAGUAACUGGGGCAUUACCACCAUUGCCACGGCCUCUGCCUCUGCCUCUUCCCCUUGCUGCCAUCUGCAUUCGAAGGUAUAGAAACAUGUCUUAGUAAUGUCCAACAUGACAAUUACAAGAGGUAACAGAAUCUGAAAUUUUCUGGGUAACAUCCAACAUCAGCAGAUCAGAAAAUUUGUCACAUCACGAGUUCCAAAAUUCAAAAGGAUAUAUGCUGUACACCGAUGGAAAUAUAAAGAAAUUGUCUACAACUUUCAUUUAGAUCAUAUUACCAGAUUCCCACGUUAGGUUCAUCAAAAACUGGGUACAACCGAAUCUGUUCUAGAAUUCCAGACUGCACAGAAACCUCAAUUAAACAGUCAUAUCUCACAGCUCAUAACAGAUAAUAAUGUCAUUCUUGAGGCAUUGGAAAGAUAUGAAGGUCCACUUGUUCCCAUAAAAAUUUGAUGAACAUUGCACGAACAGAUUUUGAGAUGUACCAGAUUCUUUGCAGACUGCUCCAGAAAACAGCAAAAGACAGAAACAGAAUUUUAACCAACCCCAACUAUUUAGUUCAUUAAUCCUUAUGCCUUAAGCCUAUAAACUAAAUGAAAUUGUAGAGGAAAUCCACAAGAUCAUUACACUCAUUACAAAGAUCCAAAUCAAGCAUAAGCAUAAUAACAAACCAAACCAAGCAUCAAAGUUUCACACUUCAAGCAUUGACUCAACUUGCGGUGCUAACGUUCUCUUCCUAUUAAGGGUAAAGAUCCUAUUACUCCUAUUUCAAUGACGUUAGAAGGUGGUAAGGAAAGUUCUAAAAGCAUAUUCAAAGCAAGAAGUGGGGAUGAGAACAAGUCUUUAAAAUAAGCAACAAGGUAAAGAUGAAUAGGAUAUAGUGUAGAAGAAAAUAUCAAGGUUUAUAGAGCAAGGAUUUUAUAGCAAUUUCAAAACCUUAAGACGGCCAAUUUCUAACUAGGCUUGCGUCCGACAGUCAACAAAGCUUUGAUACUAAUUUGUCACACCCAUAUUUUAAGAACAAAAUAGGAUGCAUAUAAGACUCAUAUCUGUCCCAGAAACAGUCGCACACAUAAGUAGACAAAUGUCAAAUGUACCAUUGCAGUGUUUAUUACAUAGCGGAACAAUAAUAAAUCACAUAGUCUUACACAAAAAUAAUAUGAGAUAAACAACGCUCUUGACGGAAGCACCACACAGGGACACUGUUGACUGGUUGACUCCAAACCUAGUACUCAUAACGGUAAUCCUCAUUCCAGUCAUCUUCAUUAUCAUAUCCUGAGGUGUUAGGAAAUUGCAAGAGUGAGCACAUAUUGUACUCAACAAGUAUAACCAGGGGUUCAUGAGGCUCAAAUAGCUGACACUGGUUUGACUGCAUUUAGCUUUUAAUAGUGGAUAGCAUGUUUACUCAUUGGAUAGCAAAUAUCAAGGUAGCAUAAUUAAAUCCCAUAACCACAUGAUCAAUGUAUACAAGAAUUAAGAAUAACACAUAUAAAGAACAUAAUAAACCAUCAUUUAUUAUCAUUAUUCACGUUCAUCAGUGUCCAUCUAUUCCGUCAGUUUUCCGGGCCGCCCGUAUCCGUGGGCACGGCUAGUAUACCAGAUUUAACACUCUGCAGAGGUUGUACAUCUUUACCCAUGAGUCGUGAUUUACCCUUUCGCCCGAGCUUGCAAGUCUCUUAACCCCCUUCCUAGGGAGGUCGGCAGGGAUCACUAUGAAGCCUUUCAAAGGUUUCGUCUAACAAGUGAGGGCCAUUAGAUUCACUCGGCAGGCAGAUAUAGAGCCCCCUUCCAUGGCACAUAACCCGCAGCCUAUACACAUGGACAGAGGCCACACUAUACCCAACGUGUCUAGCCAUUCUUACACCAUUUAAGGUAACCACUAACAAGCUAGAAAAAGGUCCUCAUACUGAGCUAAAACCAGAGCCAUAUAGCCCUCAUGGUUGUACGAGUUGUCCCAGCUUUUUCCAAGGGAUAAGUCCUUGUGGUGGGUCAAGAUCAAUCUAGCAAAAGCUAGAAUUCUUUCCACCCUUUAUGUUCAAGUUGCUAGAAAGCUUAUUUUAUUGUUUAUUGUACAUUAAAAUAUUCAUGUUACAAGAUCAUAGAUUAAUAUUCAAGCACUAGCAUGAACUACCCAAAUGCAUAUCCAAUAUAGGUAACAUGGAAUUCAGGAUAACAAUCAUCUAUGAUUUUGCUAAGGUCAUCAAGCUGGACACAUGCAUAUGAUAAAUAUUGUAUUAAUUAUGUAUAGGUAACAAGGAUGAUCCCAAGUUAUACUUGCCUUGCUCAAAGCUCUCCUGAGCCUGCUGGUCUUCAAAGGCUUGGUCUUGAUCACCAACGUACGGCUAACCGUCUAUUCCCAAACAUCAAUCAACAACACGCAAUCCAAUGUAGACAAUCAUACACGAAGCAAACAACUAUAAUUAGAACAUUACACCAAACAGUAGUAAAAUAAAUAUAAAAGUUUACCAAAAUAUUCUACGCAGCACUACGAUCACACAAACGUAAAGUUCACAAAAAUCGGAAUUAAAACGGAGAAGUUAUGCAAUUUCCAAGAUUUCCUAUAGAGAAAUAAUUAAUUAAAUGCUACUGCAGAAUUAAAAAGUUUCAAAACAGUAAACUAAUACUUCUAACAUGUACGGAUCGUAAACAUGAAUCCAACGGAAUUUGAAUGGACAAAAACGGAGUUAAAAUGAGCAUUUUAUAAGCAAAACAAAUCCAGUGGCAAUUCUGUAAUUAGCUGAAAACGUAUUUACCUUCAUCCCGAACGAAAAUACGCUUUCUACUCAGCAACGCGUAUUUUCCAGAGGGCGCCAAGGACCGUGGGCGAAUUACAAAAGAACACAGGGACUCUUUAGAAAGAUUUCCAACGAAGGGGUAUCUUCAUUUGCUGGCCAUCCGAUCUCCAUCCGACGGCCGAGAUUUCUCCAGGGGUUAACAGCGGCGGCGGCCGGCCAACUUCCUAGUCUCCGGUGCGGUGGCGCCAUUGUUGCCACCACGAAGGUCGCCAACGUUCUUCAAUCUCGCAUUUUCGGCCACCAAACUCCGAACCAAGCGCACGGGUCGAAAGAGGAGGGAGAGGCGAGCUCACCUACGCCGAAAACAAGGACGAAGAAGACGCAGGGACGGAGCAGUGCUCGGUAUGGCGGAAGACAACUCGGCGAGAUCCGAAACUCGCGAUUUACGAAGAUAGGGCACAGCUUGGACGAUUUGGAUGCGAAAAGGUAGAUGCGGGGCGGCUCAGGGGCUUUAUAGGUGUCUUAUGCGGCAAGUAAUCCCGUCCAAAUCGGGAUUGAUUCGCUCGGAUUUCCUUCGGCGGUGUCCUGCUCAGGUACGCGCGUUGGGGAGGAAAAGAGGGAGGGAGAGGAGGCUGACACGUGGGAACCGUCUGGCGGUGAAGGGGGAGAUGGGACCCAGACGUCGGUGAGAGAAGAGGCGGGGUGGGAAGCUGGGUUGCUUGCCGGGCCGAGCGCAGGGUGGAAGGGGGAGUGGGCCGCGUGCGGAGGAGGGGGAGAAACAGGCCGGGGGUGGGUCUGGCUGGGUUUACCUUUUCUUUUUUUCCUUUUUUUUCUUUUCUGUUUUCUUUUUCCUAUUUCUUCUUUGUUUUCUAAAGUCUUUUUGAAAAGAGAUUUUAAAUCCUUUUGGGAGAAAUACAAAAUACAUAGACAAAAAGCAAGCAAGCAAGUAAAUAAAUAAAUUAAUUCCAACAUGAAUGCACCACCAUGUUUCUAAACUUAGAAUAAAUUUUAAUUUUGACCAAAACUAUUUUAUUUACUAGAUUAAAUGCUCACCAAAAAUGCUUAAUUAAAUCAAAUUAAUUCCUAUUAAUGGAAAACAAAUUUUUGGGUCUUACAAAUUCUAUCCCCCUUAAAAGAAUCUCGUCCUCGAGAUUGAGCAGUGCAUAAACAAACAACUGUGGCUAUGAUUCUCUCCAAUCAUCCUCUCUUUCCCAAGUUGCUUCUACCUCUAAAAACCGAUUCCAUUGCACUAGCAAAUUCAUGUCUCUAGUCAAGUAACAUACCUGGUAACUUAUCUAAAAAUUUAUUCCCUACACAGUCCUGAAGAUCAACACCAUCAUUCAGCUGAUUCACUGUAGCUGUGGGUGGAGCCUGCACUGCUACAUCAACACUUAUUCUAUCUCCCUUUGGUGUUGUCACAACUACUACUUUCUCUUUGCACUUAAUCUUCGUAGUAUAUUUCUUCAUCCAAUCCAAACCCAAUAUCACAUCUAUGCCUAAGGUUCUCAUAACCAUGGGACUAACCGGGAAAUCUACCCCCCUUAAAGAAAGACUUGCUGAGGGGCAACAAUAAGAAACCGGUAUAGUCCCUCCUGGUGAGUUUACUAGCAUAUGAGUUUUCAUGGCAACUAGUGGAAUGCUAUGAACUCUAACAAAUGCUUGUGAUAUGAAUGUAUGCGAAGCUCCAGAAUCAAAUAAGACUGUAGCGGGGAUAGAGUUGAUAUUGAACGUACCCAUCAUAAUCUCCGGUCCCUCUUGUACUGUCUCUGCAGCCACAUGGUUCACCUUUGCUCCAUGAGAAUUAGACUUUUGCUUGUUGUUCUGCUGGUUGAAUCUCUCUGGGCAAUCAUAUGACAUAUGACCAUCUUUCCCAUAGCGAAAACACCUAGUAGGGGUAUUGGGAGCACUUCUCUUCAUAGAGGUGGCAUUUGAAUUUCCUGAGCGGGGAAUCUGCUGACCACUCUGUUGUUGAUUAGGAUUACGCUGAGGUUGUUGGUUGCGAUCCCAUUGACCAACCGGUCCCUGGAACCUCUGUUGAUCGCCUUGCUGCGAAUUGAAACAUUGGUGGUUGUUGCCUCUAGAACCUUGUGCUAGCAUUCUUCUCUUCUUGUCCUGGCCUUUGCGCAUGUUAUCCAACACGAUAGCACGGUUCACUAAAGCCUGGAAGGUAGGAUAUGUGUUUCCAGCUAGUUGCAACCUAAGUUUAUAGUAGAGACCUUUCAUGAAGAGACGUUGUUUGUCAGCAUCCUCUCUAACUUCUUUUGGGGCAUAGCGAGCCAACUGCUCAAACAUGUCAUGAUACUCAGCCACAGACAUAGAACCCAUCCUGAGAGAUCUGAAUUCUUCCUGCUUGAGCUCCAUCAUUCCUUCAUUGAUAUGUCGUGCUCGGAAAUCUCUGCAGAAUUCCAACCAAGUGACAGGAGGAGCAUUGUUGGGACGAGCAGCUUGAUAUGACUCCCACCAUGUCUGAGCUGCCCCCUGAAGCUGUCCAGAAGCAUACAACACCUUCUCCAAGUCAUUGCACUGCGCCAUGUUCAGUUGCCUCUCCAUAGCACGUAGCCAAUCAUCUGCCUCCAUAGGAUCAGCUGAGUGUGUAAACACCGGAGGUCUUCCUUUCAUAAAUUCACCACGCUUAUCUCUCACAUGAACUGGUGGUGGUGGUGGUGGAGGUUGCGGCUGUAGGUGCUGCAUGAAGACGUGCAUCAUCUCAUUCUGAGUUUGCAUAAGUUCCUCCACAGUAAUUGUGGCAUUACCACCAUUGCCACGGCCUCUGCCUCUGCCUCUUCCCCUUGCUGCCAUCUGCAUUCCAAGGUAUAGAAACAUGUCUUAGUAAUGUUCAACAUGACAAUUACAAGAGGUAACAGAAUCUGAAAUUUUCUGGGUAACAUCCAACAUCAGCAGAUCAGAAACAUUUGUCACAUCUCGAGUUCCAAAAUUCAAAAGGAUAUAUGCUGUACACCGUUGGAAAAAUAAAGAAAUUGUCUACAACUUUCAUUUAGAUCAUAUUACCAGAUUCCAAAGUUAGGUUAAUCAAAAACUGGGUACAACCGAAUCUGUUCCAGAAUUCCAGACUGCGCAGAAACCUCAACUUUAAACAGUCAUAUCUCACAGCUCAUAAUAGAUAAUAAUGUCAUUCUUGAGGCAUUGGAAAGAUAUGAAGGUCCACUUGUUCCCAGAAAAAUUUGAUGAACAUUGCACGAACAGAUUUUGAGAUGUACCAGAUUCUUUGCAGACUGCUCCAGAAAACAGCAAAAGACAGAAACAAAAUUUUAACCAACCCCAACUAUUUAGUUCAUUAAUCCUUAUGCCUUAAGCCUAUAAACUAAAUGAAAUUGUAGAGGAAAUCCACAAGAUCAUUACACUCAUUACAAAGAUCCAAAUCAAGCAUAAGCAUAAUAACAAACCAAACCAAGCAUCAAAGUUUUACACUUCAAGCAUUGACUCAACUUGCGGUGCUAACGUUCUCUUCGUAAAGAUCCUAUAACUCCUAUUUCAAUGACGUUAGAAGGUGGUAAGGAAAGUUCUAAAAGUAUAUUCAAAGCAAGGAGUGGGGAUGAGAACAAGUCUUUAAAAUAAGCAACAAGGUGAAGAUGAAUAGGAUAUAGUGUAGAAGAAAAUAUCAAGGUCUAUAGAGCAAGGAUUUUAUAGCAAUUUCAAAACCUUAAGACGGCCAAUUUCUAACUAGGCUUGCGUCCAACAGUCAACAAAGCUUUGAUACCAAUUUGUCACACCCGUAUUUUAUGAACAAAAUAGGAUGCAUAUAAGACUCAUAUGUGCCCCAGAAACAGUCCCACACAUAAGUAGACAAAUCUCAAAUGUACCAUUGCAGUGUUUAUUAUAUAGCAGAACAAUAAUAAAUCACAUUGUCUUACACAAAAAUAAUAUGAGAUAAACAACGCUCUUGACGGAAGCACCACACAGGGACAUUGUUGACUGGUUGACUCCAAAUCUAGUACUCAUAACGGUAAUCCUCAUUCCAGUCAUCUUCAUUAUCAUAUCCUGAGGUGUUGGGAAAUUGCAAGAGUGAGCACAUAUCAUACUCAACAAGUAUAACUAGGGGUUCAUGAGGCUCAAAUAGCUGAUACUGGUUUGACUGCAUUUAGCUUUUAAUUGUGGAUAGCAUGUUUACUCAUUGGAUAGCAAAUAUCAAGGUAGCAUAAUUAAAUCUCAUAACCACAUGAUCAAUGUAUACAAGAAUUAAGAAUAACACAUAUAAAAACAUAAUAAACCAUCAUUUAUUAUCAUUAUUCACGUUCAUCAGUGUCCAUCUAUUCCGUCAGUUUUCCGGGCCGCCCGUAUCCGUGGGCACGGCUAGUAUACCAGAUUUAACACUCUGCAGAGGUUGUACAUCUUUACCCAUGAGUCGUGAUUUACCCUUUCACCCGAGGUUGCAAGUCUCUUAACCCCCUUCCUAGGUAGGUCGGCAGGGAUCACUAUGAAGCCUUUCAAAGGUUUCGUCUAACAAGUUAGGGCCAUUAGAUUUACUCGGCAGGCAGAUAUAGAGCCCCCCUUCCAUGGCACAUAACCCGCAGCGUAUACACAUGGAUAGAGGCCACACCAUACCCAACGUGUCUAGCCAUUCUUACGCCAUUUAAGGUAACCACUAACAAGCUAGAAAAAGGUCCUCAUACUGAGCUAAAACCAGAGCCAUAUAGCCCUCAUUGUUGUACGAGUUGUCCCAGCUUUUGCCAAGGGAUAAGUCCUUAUGGAGGGUCAAGAUCAAUCUAGCAAAAGCUAGAGUUCUUUCCACCCUUUAUGUUCAAGUUGCUAGAAAGCUUAUUUUAUUGUUUAUUGUACAUUCAAAUAUUCAUUUUACAAGAUCAUGGAUUAAUAUUCAAGCACUAGCAUGAACUACCCAAAUGCAUAUCCAAUAUAGGUAACAAGGAAUUCAGGAUAACAAUCAUCUAUGAUUUUGCUAAGGUCAUCAAGGUGGACACAUGCAUAUGAUAAAUAUUGUAUUAAUUGUGUAUAGGUAACAAGGAUGAUCCCAAGUUAUACUUGCCUUGCUCAAAGCUCUCCUGAGCCUGCUGGUCUUCAAAGGCUUGGUCUUGAUCACCAACGUACGGCUCACCGUCUAUUCCCAAACAUCAAUCAACAACACGCAAUCCAAUGUAGACAAUCAUACACGAAGCAAACAACUAUAAUUAGAACAUUACACCAAACAGUAGUAAAACAAAUAUAAAAGUUUACCAAAAUAUUCUACGCAGCGCUACGAUCACACAAAUGUAAAGUUCACGAAAAUCGGAAUUAAAACGGAGAAGUUAUGCAAUUUCCAAGAUUUCCUAUAGAGAAAUAAUUAACUAAAUGCUACUACAGAAUUAAAAAGUUUCAGAACAGUAAACUAAUACUUCUAACAUGUAGGGAUCGUAAAUACGAAUCCAACGGAAUUUGAAUGGACAAAAACGGAGUUAAAAUGAGCAUUUUAUAAGCAAAACAAAUCCAGUGGCAAUUCUGUAAUUAGCUGAAAACGUAUUUAGCUUCAUCCCGAACGAAAAUACGCUUUCUACUCAGCAACGCAUAUUUUCCAGAGGGCGCCAAGGACCGCGGGCGAAUUACAAAAGAACACAGGACUCUUUAGAAAGAUUUCCAACGAAGGGGUAUCUUCAUUUGCUGGCCAUCUGAUCUCCAUCCGACGGCCGAGAUUUCUCCAGGGGUUAAUAGCGGCGGCGGCCGGCCAGCUUCCUGGUCUCCGGUGCGGUGGCGCCAUUGUUGCCACCACGAAGGUUGCCGGCGUUCUUCAAUCUCGCGUUUUCGGCCACCAAACUCCGAACCAAGCGCACGGGUCGAAAGAGGAGGGAGAGGCGAGCUCACCUACGCCGAAAACAAGGACGAAGAAGACGCGGGGACGGAGUAGUCUCGGUAUGGCGGAAGACAACUCGGCGAGAUCCGAAACUCGCGAUUUACGAAGAUAGGGCACGGCUUGGACGAUUUGGAUGCCAAAAGGGGCUUUAUAGGUGUCUUAUGCGGCAAGUAAUUCCGUCCAAAUCGGGAUUGAUUCGCUCGGAUUUCCUUCGGCGGUGUCCUGCUCAGGUACGCGCGUUGGAGAAGAAAAGAGGGAGGGAGAGGAAGCUGACACGCGGGACUGAAAGGUCCAAAUGGCUAGAGGGGGUGUGAAUAGCCUAUUUAAAAAUUCUACAAACUUCACUAAGCAAGUGAGUUAGUAAAACAAAUAGCGAAGCAAUUUUAGCACUAGCUUAACUAAGCUAUGCAAGCCACCUAUACAAACUAGUACAAGGCUAAACAGUAAAGCACAACAACCAAAGAACUAAGCUAAACAAGCUACACAACUAGCAAGGUAUGCACAAAAGUAAAGGAGAGGUGAGUGAUUGUUAUACCAACGUUGUAGAGUAGAGAUAUAUCCAACCAAUCACUCACAAUGACAAGAGAAUCCUCGGCAAGAGAUGACACAAGAUUUUUUACCGAGGUUCACUUGCUUCCCGGCAAGCUACUCCUCGUUGUGGUGAUACACCCACUUGAUGGAUCACGAGCUAAUUGGCAAUCCAAAGCCAAACCCUCAGCGGGUGCCGCACAUCCACUCACAAGAUGGGGAUCCUCCAAGCCACGAGCAAUCCACUAGAGUAGCCAAUUGCGAUCUCCCGCGGGGAAGGCUCAAGAACCCCUCACAAGUCACUUGGUGAGGCUCGAAACAAUCUCCAAUCACGAGCUCAACACCACCGCUGCUCCAAGCCGUCUAGGGCGUUGGGAAACACCCAAGAGUAACAAGAAAUCCGCAGCAAACUCAAGAAUCAAGUGCCACUAAAUGCAACUCUCAAAGCAAUGCACUUGAAUCUCACUCAAUCUCACUAGGAUGAGCAAUCAAGCAAGGAGAUGAGUGGAGGGAGUGUUCUCUAGCUCAAAGUAUGCCUCAAGUAUUCAAAAGUGCAAGUUAGAGCCUCCCAAAGCCUGCCACCUUCUAUUUAUAAGCCCCUUAAAGAAACUAGCCAUUGGCUGUUUUCACUGGGCUGAAAACGGGGGCACCGGACGCUACUAAGUGAGCACCGGACGCUCGACUCCCUGCGUCAGGUGCACUGGAGUUGGCCACGUGUCCUCUUUGAAUCUCGCGUGUCAGAUCCUAACGGCUACCUGCAACACACCAGACGCUCUGCAAGUCCACACCGGACGGUCCGGUGCUCACCGGACUCGUGCGCAGAGAGGGUGUCAAACUCGCGACCUCACCGGACGCUGGGCACCGGACUCGUGCGCAGAGAGGGUUGCAAAAACACCUCACACCGGACGCUAACCACCGGACGCUCUCAGAGUGCGUCCGGUGCUUAACCCUAGCAGGGUCAAGCGCACCGGACGCUGAAGCCAGCGUCCGGUGCCUCCGCACUCAGCGUCCGGUGAGUGUUUCUCAGAGAGAAAACACUCCCGCGACUACUCCAAAUUUCCCACCGGCGCAAUAGAAAAUAUACACUUAUUUUUGUCAAAAGCGCCGAAUCCCGCCUCGCAAGCUCGACGGGAGGGAGAGAGGAACCCACACCCCUCUCAACCCUAGGAACUCCAUCUCCUUUGCAAAAGUGCUAACACCAACAAGUGUCCACCACCAAAGUGCAAGUGUGUUAGCUUUUCACAAACAUUUUCACCAAAGGAGUUAAGUUAGCACUUUACUAGAUCCUAAUGCAUAUGCUCAAGAUAUGGACCUAGUAGCACUUGAUUCGAGAGAUGACCGUGAUUUCCCCUCUUGAUAGUCGGCUAUCUAUCCUAAACCCGGUCAAUCACUUCUCUACUCAUCUUAGACCGGCAAAAGUAAAACCCUAUGUUUAUACCUUUGCCUUGUUCACUUUCUCCCUUGUCCGUCAUCAUGAUUUCCACAUCAUGCUUCAUCUCUUUGUAAUCAUGUGGCCACCUUUCCAUGCCACCAUGUACCUUCAUCACAUGUGUUGCUAUGCCUAACUCAAAUCACUUAAACACAAGGCAUUAGCAACUUGGUGUCAUUAAUUACCAAAACCAAACUUGGGCUUUCAAUCUCCCCCUUUUUGGUAAUUGAUGACAACCAUCACAAAGAUAUGAAAUGAAAUCAUAAUGAACUUGAAUUGCUUGUCCAAAGCAUUUUUAUCAUGAGACAAGAUUGGACAAACAUUUCAAUUUCGGUUUUGGUAGUACUAGAUCCCCCUACAUAUGUGCUUCCAUGAGUUUGGUUCAAGUUUGCACAUAUGCAUGAAUUAGAGUUUUGGGAGAUUUAUUACUACCAAAAUGAUGCUAAGGUAUAUAGAAUGGACCUUUGAAGCGUGAUACCAAUCGGAGUUGCCAAUAUACCAUCCUUAGCACCAAUGUAGCUAGACAUACAUCAAAAACUCAAGAUACCUCGUGAGAUCACAUUAUAUGUCUAGAUACCACAUGAAAAUAAGACUCUAUGCUAGAAUUCAAAGCAUCAUUCAAGUUCUAUUUCUAGCAAACACCAAUCAAACAAGAGUAGUGAAUUUAAACUUGCAAUGCAACACCUCAUUAUGUUAGUGCACAUUCAAGUGCAACAAAUGGUUCAUGAGCUUGCUCCCCCUAUUUGUGUGCUCAAGUGUAUCUCUCCCCCUUUGCACUUUUCUCCCCCUUUAUGACUUUAUCUUUGUUUCUCUCCCCCUUUGUCAUCAAUGACCACAAAGGUUCAAAUUUUAGUGAGAAUUAAGUCAAUCAAUGUGAGGGUCAAAUUAUGGUUCAAUCUAGAUUACUUGCCUAGAAUAUGUAAUUCGGUUUGAUCCAAGGACAAGCUUUUUCACACCUCAUAAAGUAUAAGGGUUAUCUUGACCAUGUUGAAUUACACAUCAUAAGCUCAUAUUCUAGAUUCAACGCUAGGCUUGCAAGCUCACAAACAUGUCAUAUGCUACCACUAGAUCAAUCAAUCAUAGAAGCAAUAGUGGUACCAUACAUACAUCAAAAUCUUUUGUUUUUCAUGAAUGAGCCUAUUUGUCAUGCAAAUAUGUCUAUAUGUUCUAAUCUUGUCCUUAGCAAAGUAUGAAUGAUAUGUCAACCAACUUUACCUUGCUUUGUUGGAGGAGAGGCAUGUCAUAUAUAAAUGUGGGGGUGCACUCAUCUCAAGUUGGAGAAGUCAAGUAUGUUCAAUUCAUUCCUCAACUUGCAAAAUCUCUUCUCAUCAAGUGGCUUUGUGAAGAUGUCGGCUAGUUGAUCUUCGGUGCCAAUGCUUUCAAUGCUAAUAUCACCCUUUUGUUGAUGGUCUCUUAUGAAAUGGUGCCUUAUGUCAAUGUGCUUGGUUCUUGAAUGUUGAACCGGAUUUUGUGUCAUCUUGAUUGCACUCUCAUUAUCACAUAGCAAAGGCACAUUCUUGAAUUUGAUUCCAAAGUCAUUCAAGGUAGCUUUCAUCCAAAGCAAUUGUGCACAACAACUACCGGCACUAAUGUAUUCGGCUUCGGCGGUUGAUAGUGCAACACUAUUUUGUUUCUUUGAUGACCAUGAAACUAGAGACCUUCCUAGCAAUUGACAAGUGCCACUUGUGCUCAUUCUAUCAAUUUUGCAUCCACCAUAGUCGGAGUCCGAAUAUCCAAUCAACUCAAAGUUUGAUCCCUUGGGAUACCAUAAUCCAACAUCAUGAGUGCCCUUGAGAUACCUCAAUAUUCUUUUGGUUGCCUUCAAGUGACUCUCUCUAGGUGAAGCUUGGUAUCUUGCACAUUUGCACACACUAAACAUUACAUCCGGCCUUGAUGCGGUGACAUAGAGCAAACUUCCAAUCAUGGACCGGUAUAACUUUUGAUCUACCAUGUUUCCACUUGCAUCACUACCUAAUUGAUCAUUUGUGCCCAUAGGUGUGCUCAUUGGUUUAGCUUCUUGCAACCCAAACUUCUUGAUCAUGUCCUUGAUGUACUUUCCUUGACUUACAAAAGUGCCAUUUUUCAUUUGCUUGAUUUGAAGACCAAGGAAGUAACUAAGCUCUCCAAUCAUGGACAUUUCAAACUCAUUAGCCACCAUUCUUCCAAACUCUUCACAAAAGUCUUGAUUGGUUGAUCCAAAGAUGAUAUCAUCAACAUAGAUUUGCAACACGAACAAGUCAUUGCCUAGCUUCUUGGUGAAGAGGGUAGUGUCAACCUUUCCCAUCUUGAACCCUUUAGAGAGAAGGAAAUCUCUCAAUCUCUCAUACCAUGCUCUAGGUGCUUGCUUUAAACCAUACAAUGCCUUCUUGAGCUUGUAAACAUGGUUGGGUUUCUUGUCAUCUUCAAAACUGGGAGGUUGUUCAACAUAAACCAACUCAUUGAUGUAUCCAUUGAGAAAUACACUCUUCACAUCCAUUUGAUAGAGCUUGAUGUUGUGGGCACAAGCAUAGGCUAAUAAUAUUCUAAUUGCCUCCAAUCUUGCAACCGGUGCAUAUGUUUCUCCAAAGUCAAGACCUUCAACUUGAGUGUAGCCUUGUGCUACUAAUCUUGCUUUGUUUCUCACAACUACACCAUCUUGAUCUUGCUUGUUUCUAAAGACCCACUUGGUUCCAAUGACAUUGUAGUUCUUUGGCCUCUCAACAAGCUCCCACACUUGAUUUCUUGUGAAAUUGUUCAAUUCUUCAUGCAUGGCAUUUACCCAAUCGGAGUCCUUCAAUGCAUCUUCUAUUUUCUUUGGUUCCUCAAAUGAGACAAAUGAGUAGUGCUCACAAAAGGAUGCUAGCCUUGAUCUUGUUUGUACACCACUUUGAAUACCUCCAAUGACUUGAUCCAAUGGAUGAUCCCUUGCUAUGCUAGUAGGUUGGAGUAUUGGGAAUUGAUUGCUUCCACUAGCUUGAUUUUGAUCUUGAUCAUCAUCAUAAGAGCCACUAGUACUUGCUUGAUUUGUAUGAAUUUGCACUUCUUGAUUGAUCAUGUGAAUAUCACUAUCAUCAUCAACUUGCAUUGGCCUUAUGUCACCAACAUCCAUGUUCUUCAUUGCAUUUUCCAAUUGAUCUCCUCUCACAUCAUCAAGAUUUUGAGCUUCAUUUUGAGAUCCCUCGGUUUCAUCAAACUCAACAUCAUGGACUUCUUCCAAUGUGCCACUUGCCAAGUUCCAAACUCUAUAUGCCUUGCUUGUGGUGGAAUAACCAAGUAAGAACCCUUCAUCACAUUUCUUCUCAAACUUGCUCAAUCUAAUGCCUUUCUUGAGAAUGUAGCAUUUGCAACCAAACACUCUAAAGUAUGCAAUGUUGGGCUUUCUUCCAUUCAAUAGCUCAUAUGGUGUCUUCCCAAGCUUCCCAUGGCAAUAGAGACGGUUGCUACAAUAGCAAGCCGUGUUGAUAGCUUCACUCCAAAAUGAAUGACUAACAUUGUACUCACUAAGCAUUGAUCUAGCCAUAUCAAUCAAGGUUCUAUUCUUCCUUUCAACUACACCAUUGGAUUGAGGAGUGUAUGUUGGAGAGAAUUGAUGUCCAAUGCCAAGAUCAUCACACAAUUCCUCAAUUCUUGUGUUCUUGAAUUCACUACCAUUGUCACUUCUAAUCUUCUUGAUAGUGGUUUCAAACUCAUUUUGCACCCUCUUGACAAAAGACUUGAAUAGAUCACAAACAUCACUCUUGUCAUAGAGAAAGAACACCCAAGUGUAUCUAGUGUAGUCAUCUACUAUCACAAGUCCAUACUUGUUGCUACCAAUGCUAGUAUAUGUUGUUGGCCCAAAUAAAUCCAUGUGCAAAAGCUCAAAUGCCUUUGAUGUGCUCAUUUCACUUUUCUUAGGAUGUGCAUUUCCAACUUGCUUUCCGGCUUGACAAGCACUACAUGGUUUAUCCUUCUCAAAGGUGACAUCCUUCAAGCCUCUAACUAAGUCAUGCCUCAAUAGUUUGUUCAAUUGUUUCAUUCCAACAUGACCAAGCCUUCUAUGCCACAACCAACCCAAACUUGAUUUGCUAAUUAGGCAUGAUGUCAAUUGAGUGUCACUAUCAUUGAAAUCAACCAAGUAUAAGCUACCAUGCCUAAAUCCUUUGAAUAUCAAGUUUGAUCCAUCAACACUAAUCACCUCAACAUCAUCACUUCCAAAGAUGCACUUGAAACCAAGGUCACAAAGUUGUGCAAUAGACAAGAGAUUGAAAUCAAGGCUCUCAACUAGCAACACAUUUGAUAUGCUCAUGUCAUUUGAGAUAGCAAUUUUACCAAGCCCCUUGACCUUGCGUUUCUUGUUGUUACCGAAGGUAAUUGAAUCAAAGCCACCAUUUUGACUAGUAUCAAUUGAUUUGAACAUACAAGACUCCCCGGUCAUAUGUUGAGUGCACCCACUAUCAAGCACCCAAUGCCUUCCUCCGGCUUUGUAAUUGACCUACAAGACAAGAUCAAUUCUUUUUAGGUACCCAAACUUGAUUGGGUCCUCCAAGGUUAGCAACUAAGCUCUUUGGUACCCAAAUGGCUUUCUUCUUUGAGCCCAUCCAUGGUGCACCAAUGAACUUAGCAUGAACACCUUUUGUAUCCUUGGUAAGUACAUAAAAAGAAUUAUGCUUAAUUGAGGAUACAUUAGCUUUGGGUUUCUUGUUCAUGCAUUGUUGCUCUAAGUGACCAACUUGCUUGCAAGCUUUGCAAUACCGGCCUUUUGUCUUCACAAAACUAGUCUUGUGAGGAGCAAAGGCGGACUUGCCUUUCUUGGGGUUAUAGCCCAAUCCCUCUUUAUAGAGAGAAGCUCUUUGGCUACCCAAGCACAUAAGCAAGCGGUCCUCACCACCAUAAGCCUUGGCUAAGGUGUGAUUGAGCUCCUUUACCUCCUUCUUGAGAAUUUCAUUCUCAACUUUUAGUGUGGUGUCACAUGUGAAACCAUCACUACUAGAUGAGGGAGAUGUAGAUGUGCUACAUGAAGGGUUAGUCGAAGCAACAACAAUAGGCUUACUUAAGAUAUCACAUGUUAGGCCUAUGUUGCAAGUUUUAGCUUUCUCAAUUUUAGUUGGCUCAUUUUCACAUUUGUUAACUAGAGAGGAAUGAGCUUCUUCAAGCUUAGUGUGAGCCUUUUGAAGCUUCUUAUGGUCUUCCUUUAGAUUCUCAUAAGAUGCUCUAAGCUCAUCAAGUUCUUGCUCAAGGGUUUUCUUAUCCUUAAGCAAAGCCUUGCACUCCUUUCUAGUUUCUUUAUAGUGAUGAGUGCAAUCUUCUAGCAUAGUGAUUAGUUCAUCUUUAGUUGGUUCAUCAUCAUCACUAUCACUUGCAUGGUCACUCUCAUCAUCGGAUGAUACCUUAGUGGCCCUAGCCAUGAAGCAUGAUGGAGUGUCGAAGAUGGAGCUCUUUUCUUGAAUUGCAAUACUAGCAUGUGCCUUCUUCUUGGUGCUCUCAUCAUCACUUGAGGAAUCAUCACUAUCCCAAGUUGCAACAUGGGCAUCACCCUUCUUCUUGUUUGAGCCUUCCUUCUUUUCUUGCUUCUUCUUUUGCUUCUUUUUUUCCUUCUUGAUAGCAUCUUCAUCAUCACUAUCAUAAGGACAUUUGGCAAUGAGAUGAUCCUUGCUAUGGCAUCUAAAGCACCUCAUGGAGUGGUCAUUCUUCUUGGAGGAGCUCUUCUUCCUUCUUGCCCGAUAGCCCUUCUUCUUCAUAAACUUGCCAAAUCUCUUGACAAGGAGAGCCAUCUCCUCAUCUUCAUCACUAUCACAAGAGCUUGCUUCUUCUUCACUUGAUGAUUCUUGCUUGGCUUUGCCCUUGGAUGUGGAGGCCUUGAAUGCCACACUUUUCUUCUUCUCAUCAUCUUUCUUCUCACCAUCCUUCUUUUUCUUCUUGAUCAACUCAUCCUUCUCAUAAUCUUCUCUAUAAGCAUCAUCGGUCAUCACUUCUUGGAAGACUUGUUGGGGAGUUGAUUCACUAAGUGUUGUCUUGACUAGCACGGUGAUCAAUGUGUCAAAUCUCUUGGGCAAGCUUCUCAAGAACUUCAUAGAGAAUUGACUAUCCUUCACUUCUUCCCCAAGUGCCUUGAGCUCAUUUACAAUAACUUGUAACCGGUGAAACAUCUCCGCCACACUUUCAUCUUCUUGCAUCUUGAAGCUUGAGAACUUUUCUUGGAGGAUGUAUGCUUUGGCGGUCUUGGUUCCCUUGGUGCCCUCAAAUGUUUCUUCUAAUUUUGCCCAUGCAUCAUGAGCAAUCACAAUGUUCUUGAUUUGCUCAAAGGUCUUGUCAUCAAGAGCUUCAUGAAGAGCACUAAUUGCAAUAUCAUUGCAUUGUAGCUUCUUCUCUUCAACCGGUGUUGGUGCAUUCUCAUUUGCAACUUCAAACUUUGUUUCGGUCACCUUCCAAACCUCUCUAUUGAUUGACUUAAGAUGAGCGGUCAUCUUGACCUUCCAAUAUGCAUAAUUGGUGCCAUCAAAGAAAGGUGCCUUCUUGGUGUUGUUGAUAUGCAAACUAAGAGCCAUUUCUUCACCGAAGGUUGUUAAGCCUCAAAUAAACGGUGCCUCAGCUCCCAUACCACUUGAAAGGUCCAAAUGGCUAGAGGGGGGGUGAAUAGCCUAUUCAAAAAUUCUACAAACUUCACUAAGCAAGUGAGUUAGUAAAACAAAUAGCGAAGCAAUUCUAGCACUAGCUUAACUAAGCUAUGCAAGCCACCUAUACAAAUUAGUACAAGGCUAAACACUAAAGCACAACAACCAAAGAACUAAGCUAAACAAGCUACACAACUAGCAAGGUAUGCACAAAAGUAAAGGAGAGGUGAGUGAUUGUUAUACCAACGUUGUAGAGUAGAGAUAUAUCCAACCAAUCACUCACAAUCACAAGAGAAUCCUCGGCAAGAGAUGACACAAGAUUUUUUACCGAGGUUCACUUGCUUCCCGGCAAGCUACUCCUCGUUGUGGCGAUACACCCACUUGAUGGAUCACAAGCUAAUUAGCAAUCCAAAGCCAAACCCUCAGCGGGUGCCGCACAUCCACUCACAAGAUGGGGAUCCUCCAAGCCACGAGCAAUCCACUAGAGUAGCCAAUUGCGAUCUCCCACGGGGAAGGCUCAAGAACCCCUCACAAGUCACUUGGUGAGGCUCGAAACAAUCUCCGAUCACGAGCUCAACACCACCGCUGCUCCAAGCCGUCUACGGCGUCGGGAAACACCCAAGAGUAACAAGAAAUCCGCAGCAAACUCAAGAAUCAAGUGCCACUAAAUGCAACUCUCAAAGCAAUGCACUUGAAUCUCACUCAAUCUCACUAGGAUGAGCAAUCAAGCAAGGAGAUGAGUGGAGGGAGUGUUCUCUAGCUCAAAGUAUGCCUCAAGUAUUCAAAAGUGCAAGUUAGAGCCUCCCAAAGCCGGCCACCUUCUAUUUAUAAGCGGCUUAAAGAAACUAGCCGUUGGCUGUUUUCACUGGGCUGAAAACGGGGGCACCGGACGCUACUAAGUGAGCACCGGACGCUCGACUCCCUGCGUCCGGUGCACUGGAGUUGGCCACGUGUCCUCUUUGAAUCUCGCGUGUCAGAUCCUAACGGCUACCUGCAACACACCGGACGCUCUGCAAGUCCACACCGGACGGUCCGGUGCUCACCGGACUCGUGCGCAGAGAGGGUGUCAAACUCGCGACCGCACCGGACGCUGGGCACCGGACGGUCCGGUGCUCACCGGACUCGUGCGCAGAGAGGGUUGCAAAAACACCUCACACUGGACGCUAACCACCGGACGCUCUCAGAGUGCGUCCGGUGCUUAACCCUAGCAGGGUCAAGCGCACCGGACGCUGAAGCCAGCAUCCGGUGCCUCCGCACUCAGCGUCCGGUGAGUGUUUCUCAGAGAGAAAACACUCCCGCGACUACUCCAAAUUUCCCACCGGCGCAAUAGAAAAUAUACACUUAUGUUUCUCAAAAGCGCCGAAUCCCGCCUCGCAAGCUCGACGGGAGGGAGAGAGGAACCCACACCCCUCUCAACCCUAGGAACUCCACCUCCUUUGCAAAAGUGCUAACACCAACAAGUGUCCACCACCAAAGUGCAAGUGUGUUAGCUUUUCACAAACAUUUUCACCAAAGGAGUUAAGUUAGCACUUUACUAGAUCCUAAUGCAUAUGCUCAAGAUAUGGACCUAGUAGCACUUGAUUCGAGAGAUGACCGUGAUUUCCCCUCUUGAUAGUCGGCUAUCUAUCCUAAACCCGGUCAAUCACUUCUCUACUCAUCUUAGACAGGCAAAAGUAAAACCCUAUGUUUAUACCUUUGCCUUGUUCACUUUCUCCCUUGUCCGUCAUCAUGAUUUCCACAUCAUGCUUCAUCUCUUUGUAAUCAUGUGGCCACCUUUCCAUGCCACCAUGUACCUUCAUCACAUGUGUUGCUAUGCCUAACUCAAAUCACUUAAACACAAGGCAUUAGCAACUUGGUGUCAUUAAUUACCAAAACCAAACUUGGGCUUUCAGGGACCCGUCUAGCGGUGAAGGGGGAGGUGGGACCCAGACGUCGGUGAGAGAAGAGGCGGGGUGGGAAGCUGGGUUGCUUGCCGGGCUGAGCGCAGGGUGGAAGGGGGAGUGGGCCGCGUGCGGGGGAGGGGGAAAAACAGGCCGGGGGUGGGUCUGGCUGGGUUUACCUUUUCUUUUUUUUUCUUUUUUUUCUUUUCUGUUUUCUUUUUCCUAUUUCUUCUUUGUUUUAUAAAGUCUUUUUGAAAAGAGAUUUUAAAUCCUUUUGGGAGAAAUACAAAAUACAUAGACAAAAAGCAAGCAAGCAAGUAAAUAAAUAAAUUAAUUCCAGCAUGAAUGCACCACCAAGUUUCUAAACUUAUAAUAAAUUUUAAUUUUGACCAAAACUAUUUUAUUUACUAGAUUAAAUGCUCACCAAAAAUACUUAAUUAAAUCAAAUUAAUUCCUAUUAAUUGAAAACAAAUUUUUGGGUGUUACAAGUCUACUUUUGGUAAUGAUGUUAAGAAUACCCAACAGAUAGUAGGUGUUAUUGUUGAUGAAGUUCACGUCCUCUUGUAGUGUAGGGCAACAAAUAGAUUAGUGCCCGUAGUCUCCACAUUCUUUACAUGUCAUAUGGGAAUCAUUGAUGUGCAUGACUUCCUUCUUCUCUAUGUCGAGCUUCUUCAUGAUGAGGUCUAGCUUGGCAGUGACCAUGUUAGCUUUCUUGAGAUGAUGGAUUCCUCCUCCUUUCUUCCGAGACUGAGUAUGGUCUUCAUUGCAUGUCGAAUUUGAUACCAUCUUCUCAACAAUUGCUUUAGCGUCUGAGAGCUUAAGUGAUAGGAAAGCUCCCCCAGCUGCAGCAUCAAUAAACUCACUGGUACUAGAGAUGAGCCCGUGAUAGAAAGUCAACAUUAACAACCACUCCUCUAUCCCAUGAUGAGGACAGUCUUCAAUGUAAUUCUAGAAUCUUUCCCAUGCUUCAGUGAAUGAUUCAUCAUGUUGUUGUUGGAAACUUGAAAUCUUCCCACGUAGAGCAUUAGUCUUUGCUGUAGGAAAGAAUUUUGCCAUGAAAGAAGUUGAGCAAAGGUCCCAUGUAUUGUGUUUCUAUUUGUUGGUGUAAAACCACUACUUGGCUUUCCCGAAUAAUGAGAACGGGAAAAGACGUAGUAAGAUAGCACCUUUUGGUACUCCUCUGAUCGUGAAGGUGUUGCAGAUCUCUAGAAAGUGUUUGUUGAGGAUAUCAGUAAGGAGUACCCUAAGUGAUGAGCAUAUCAAGAGUAUCCGUACACAAGUCGAGGCAUCCGACUCGACGCCCAGUUGUGUGCCCGGUCCUCAACGACCAUAGUCUCGAACACGGAAAGUGCGUCCUGUGAAUCGACCAGGGCUCGAGCGCUGGCUACCGUCGAAUACGGAAACAGGCUCGAGCGAAUCGGAAGGCCUCGAGCGCAAGGACGCCGCCCGCCGCCUGACGUGGGCACGGGAACCAGGGCAUUUAAUGUGCCUGCCGCGUUCUUACCUAACCCGCCAGUCACAGGAAGCGUGAUGGGGAACAGGCACCCGUCCCGUCAUUCUUUUUGCAGCCUUCCCCACCAAACAAGCCAGAACGUGGCAGGAUGCAGGGAGUGGGUUGGAACGUCUAAUCAAGACCCCCCUCGAGACGCCCAAGGUCAGCACUCUAGCUAGCAAGGCGUUACACGACAUCCGACCCUCGAGUAGGCAUGUUUCCUUCCUAGGGAAGGGUCGGGCGACGAGUGACAGCACCUCAACCACUCCGACGCAGCUGCUGCCGCGACAUACAAGCGUGCAACAGAUAAACUAGUCCAGGACGGUGCACAGAGCGGGAUACAGGGGCACGCGUAAUCAUCAUCAAAGUACCAAGACAAGAUGGCUCGAGACCACGCCUGUACGGAGGCCUCGAGUAGGUCAGCGCGCCAUACCGCUAUCGACCCCUACUCUGACGCCUAUACAUGUACACUAGGCCCCUCCUUGGAACUAUAAAAGGGGAGGCCCGGGAGCGGAUACAGGGGACACGCGAUACAACACAACACACAUGCUUACUAGAGCUUCCAUACUCCAUCUACAUCCAUCUCACGCCUGUAUUCACCCCUGUACAAGCACUUAGGUGCAAGAUAAUACAAACACCUCUCCCCCCGCUGGACGUAGGGCCUUCUCUUGCCCGAACCAGGAUAAAUCUUUGUGUCAUUUCUUGCAUCACCAUCUGGAAAGGGGAGCACGCAUACAAGUUUUACUCGUUGGUGUGACCCCCCUGGGGAAAACACCGACAGUUGGCGUGCCAGGUAGGGGUCCUGCGUGUUUUUCACCGAUUUCCCAUUCCUUUCCACAUGGCCACUCUCAUUUCGCCGAUUCCGCGCUCCACGGUGAUUUGGUUCGGGAGCCUCGAGUUCAUGUCUACUUGUUCUGGCUAUGACAUGAUCCUGCUCUCUGUCAAAGGACUGGGAGGAGCCCGCGUUGCGCCAGCACGAUUGAGGGCUCCGAGACGUCCUCGCCACCACGCCUCCCCGCCCAAGAAGAGGCGUGGACAGGGCCACCAUCACCCUUCUGCCUCGUCACGACCGACAGUUCGUGCCAGGCAGGAGGUGACACAGGAGCCGACAGCCCCGUGCACCAAAACCGCGGGUAUGGCGGCCCAACGCCACGAGGAUCGCAUGACGACGAUGGGAGAUGGCGCGCGCCGCGCGCUCUCCCCCACCGCUACGCUACUUCCACAUGGGCUGUUCGCCCCAAGAAGAGCGCUGCCGUUUGGUCUAGACAAUGCCGCGGUGUCGCUCGCUAGGGCGAUAUGUCCAAACGCCCAGUCAUACAUGGAGAGACCAAUGGUCCUCCCACGCGAUACUGAAGCGCAGCAACAGACGUCCGAGCUGCCAGAUUUCUCCUAGGUACGAGGCCUCCGUCGCCUAGGGCUUGGGCGAUACACGAUCACCUCACUCAGGCAACGGCUGCUGGAGGAGGGACGUGGAUGCUUCUACGCCGCCGAGCCGGACUCCGGCUCUGAGUCCGACAGCUACGACCCUACUAGGGAAUGCUUCAACAUCGAUGGGGCAGUGGAAACCACCGACGAGACACAGGACGCCAUUGCAGGCGGUCGAGUCCUUGCAGCAAGGGAGGACCCCAGGACGCCUGGGAAUGACGGUCAGGUCGACCCCCCUCUGCAAGAAGACAGAACUGCGCAACUUGCGCAGCUACGAGAACUCAAAGCGAAGCUCGAUGAGGAUUGCGAGCGCCUUGUUCUGCUUGACAGAUCCUCAAGCAAGACCUGCCUUACCCGCUUGGUGGAAGUGUCCGCAGACGGGCUCGAGAGGUACAUCAGCAGAUCGUCGGAGACGGAGAGCCUGAGCAGCCCGUCAGCCGUUUCCCUCGAGCGGGCCAGAACGUCGUGGCGGCGACAAUGCUGCUGCGUAAUAUGCCCGAACCGUCGAACUCCCAAGCGCGACGCAUUCAAGACGAGGUGCAGACUCUGCUCCAGGUGGCAGCAGUUUGUUGAUAUUUGGUAACGCAAUCAGCAAAUGAUCCGCAAGCGCAUGAAUAUCGGUGAGCAUUUCACCCGGGAGGUUUUUUAGAGUAUCAUAUUUAUAUUUUUACCACUGGGAGAAAGGGUGCAUCUGACUAACCAAAUCUAUUGCUACUACCCCUUUAGGCUACAAAGAAUGUUUCUCGAUGUGAGUGAUGUAUAGAGAAGACUGCAACCGUAGUCUCGUUCUAACCUUGGUAAGGAUGAUCUACUGUUCUAUUGGGGAAGCUUACGGAAUCUAGACACCACAAAGGAUGUUCGACCCACACUUAUAAACUCUACCCAUCCUGCUAACAAGAUAUGGGAUACAAAGGUAACUCGGAAAUGUCACGUUCCUCGCUACUACCACGGUCCAGCUAGUCAGGGGAUAUCUAUGAGUACCCUAGCCUAAACACCACGUUUACGCUAGCAAUGAUUACUCUAAUACUCAACCGGAAGAGGAUUAAAGUAAACUCAUAAACCAAAGAACAAUAAAAUAAGAACUUACUGGAAUUAGAAGUCGAAUUACUGAAGAAUCUUAGGAGCAAGCCUCAGGUUAGAAGACUUGAUCCCGCAGGUACAACCUCGGAGUAGACACCGACAGGCCGGCCUUCCUCCGAUCUACACCUCCACUCUAUCUCUCUCAAUCUAGUAGAAACUAAAAGAUCUAUUUCUACUCACAUUGGUUGCUAAGCCUAAAAAGAAAUUUUAUUUAGAGAAGAGGUUUUCCUUCGAGGGCACCCCUCAACUCUAUGAAAAACUUGUCUCCUCCAGGGGCUAGGGGGUCUGCUUAUAUAGUCCUCCUCAUUUGGGCAUUUUUGGGUCAGCAGACGAUGUGGUACUAUGUUAUCCUUGAUCCUUUAGGUCGGUGGGACGUCGUGUGCGAAAAGAGUCCCAAACGGGGUCCAGAGGGGGGCGGGCGCCCAGGUCCUCAAGGCGGGCGCCCUGGGCCUGGCUCCUUUCGGCCUCUGCUUUCUUCCCUGGGCUUCUGGAGUCUUCUAGAUGGUAGAAAAUUGCGCGGUGUGUUGAUAUCUCUAUGUAAUCCCGACGUGUGGGCCUUUCUUCCUUAUUUCCUGAUAACCCCCUGCAGAAAUAGACAAACACCAAAACUCGUGGAAUUCUGUCAGAUAAAACCCUAAGUCUGGGUGUUGGUUGCAUUUGGAUCCUUUUCUUUAUUUAUUUGAUAAUUAUAUUUGGUACUUAAGGACCGUCAACAACUCCCCCAAGCUUACCUCUUGCUCGUUCCUGAGCAAGGAUGAACUCAAGAGUUUCUACAGUGGUUUCAUGCCUUAAAAGUACACACACAUUCAAGCAAGAUCUCAUCUCUGAGUUAGAAUAAACUGUUAAGACUAAAAACUUACUCAUUUUACCUUUCACCAUGGGGCUUGUAACCGCCAUUUGUGUCUUGAGCAGUUAAAAGAUAGAACGGUCAAGUCAAGCGCCAUGUCUCUUAUUCUUGAUCAACUAUAGCUCUGGAGUUUUUGCAGAUUUUCAAAUAAAACUCAGAGAUUCCUUAUAUGAUUCUCUCAAAUCUCUCUUUUGUGGUAUUUCUGGAUCCUUACCAAGGCAGUAAUGGUAUAUGCCUUAUCUCAAAGUAUGUGGUAUUUUUGGUAUAAUGCAUAGUGAUAUUACCUUCUCUCUCACCCUACUCUAAUAAGGUUUUGAUAUCUGGAGCUCAUAGGUGGGAGACAGCUAAUACAUACUUACAAGACAUUUAUUGCAUAGUCAAACCAUAGAUCCAGAGAAACAAGUCAAUAAGUCAAAUCAAGAUGUGCAUGUGUGGCGAAUGAAUGGUGUAUGGUGAUGAUGGUGAUAACAAUGGUUUAAAUCUAAUUCUGCUUUUGCUCUUUUUAGGGGAUACUUACCUUUCUUGCACUUUGAAGCUUUUUGAGGGGAAUGAGAUGCUCUAUAUUUUCUUUUUCUUUCUCUCUCAGGUGGGUAUCUUGUACCCCUAAUUCUACUGUCGGACACUUGUCCAUUUUUACCUCUCGUCUCACUUUUUCUUUUCUUCGAGGUUCCGGGCACUUGCCCCUUUUUAUUUCCUCGUAUAUAUUUCUCUCUCUUUUUUUCUCUUUCUCUUCUCUUUUUUUAGAGCACUCAUCUCCUGAAAUAAUGUAGCAAGUGGUAGUAACCAAAAUAACUGGAGCAUUUAUUUCACAUUGAAUAAUAGGGAUAGGAAAAUGUUUUUGGCUAUUCUCUCUCGGAUUAGGAGUAGAAUAAUUUUGGGUGAAUCUGGAGAUGGAAAUGAGUGGAUGUAUGUGGAUGCGUACUUCCGGAGUAGAAGCAGCAUAUACGAGUGAACGUGCAAGUGAAUCUUGAUUUUAACCACAUGACAAGCUCCUAAGGGUCUACACAGCUUGACCACACUCAAUGCUCAUAAGCAGUAAAAAGUAAAUGUGUGGCUCUGUUGGGUAUUUUAAACGCAAACAGAAAAAUCCGCAAGCACACGGAUACCGAUGUAGCUUUCACCAGGGAGUAUUCCAGAGUAUCGAUUUUCCACAGAGAACGUGAGUGUAGUCAUUAAGAUCCAAGAUCGCCCAAGGAUAACUAUAUAAUUAUUUUUGGUGGGAAGAGAGGAAGUUUCCUGAGAGUUCUCUAGAUGAUCUAAGAAUCAAGAAUUACUUCAAGAUUAUCUAUUUCGGGACAUCAGAACACUAACCACAGAAAGAGAUGAGAAGGGGGCUAGGAAGCUCUGACUACGGUCCUACAAACACCGAUCCGAACCAGGUGGAAUACGUCGACCGUUAGGGCUGUCACUACCCUAAGGCUACCACAACAAUCCGCAGGAUUGGGUGCAAUUCCAGGUAAUCGCAAGACUAAACACCACGUUUAAUCUAUUAAUUACUACUCUAAUGUUUCAAAGACUAGAGCACUUGAUGCAAGCGGGAAUCCAAUAAAUAACUUGAAUGUAAAUAAAAGUAAUUAGAGAACUCAGGAGUUAUGAGUUGAAGAACCUGGAGAACGAUGAAGAACGAACCAGUUGCUGCAAAAGUACAAUGUUGAGGAAGAUCCGACAGAUCCGGCUCCUCCUCCGCUCUCCUCUUCUCUCUCCCUAUUUUAUAGAUUACAACUAGAACUAACUAGAACUAGAACUAGAGGAACUAGAACUAGAACUAGAUGAACUAGAACUAGAUCUAGAUGAACUAGAGGUAGAACUAGAAGAACUAGAGGGAUCCUCUCUACUUGGAUGAAGAAUUGAAACCCUAACUUUGAUUCUGUAGAAGAGGUAUGAUCUCCAGGGGCCAGGGGGGUCUGGUUUUAUAGUCCCUUCAAGUGAAUCUGGGCCGUCGGAUCAAACCGAUAUUGAUCGCACGGUUUUCCUUGAUCCUUUAGGUCGGUGGAGCUUGGUCCGCAAAGUUGGACGUGUUUGACCACAACUCCUGGGCGGGCGCCCAAGGGGGGUGGGCGGGCGCCCUGCCCCCGGGCCUGUUCGCCUUCCCGUUCGUUCCCGUGGCUUCUGGAGUCUUCUAGAUGACGUAAAAUUGCGUGGCACGUUAAUAUCUCUGUGUCAACCCGACGUGUGGGCCUUUCUUCUGUAUGUCCUGAUAACCCCCUGCAGAAAUAGACAAACACCAAAACUUGUGUAAUUCUGUCAGAUAAAACCCUAAGUCUAGAUGUUGGUAGCAUUUGGAUCCUUUUCCAUGAUUAGUUGACGAUUAAAUGUGAGCAUUAAGGACCGUCAACAAGCUCCCCCAAGCUUAACCUUUGCUCGUCCCUGAGCAAAGAUGAACUCAAGAGUUUCUGCAGUGGUUUCAUAACUUAAAGAUACACAUGCAUUUAAACAAGAUCUCAUCUCUGGUUAGAGUAAACUAUUAAGACUUAAAACUUACUCAUUUACCUUUCACCAUGGGACUUGUAACCGUCACUUCUGUCUUGAGUAGUUAAAUGAUAGAACGGUCUAGUCAAGCACCAUGUCUCUUAUUCUUGAUCAGCUAUAGCUCUGGAGUUUUUGCAGAUUUUCAAAUAAAACUCAGAGAUUCCUUGUAUGACUCUCUCUAGUCUCUCUUUUGUGGUAUUUCUGGAUCCUUACCAAGGCAUUAAUGGUGUAUGCCUUCUCUCAAAGUAUGUGGUAUUUUUGGUAUGAGGCAUAGUGACAUUGCCUUCUCUCUCACCCUACUCUAAUAAGGCUUUUGAUAUCUGGAGCUCAUAGGUGGGAGAUAGCUAAUACAUACUUACAAGACAUUUAUUGCAUAGUCAAACCAUGGAUCCAGAAGAUCAAGUCAAUAAGUCAAAUCAAGAUGUGCAUGUGUGGCGAAUGAAUGGUGUAUGGUGAUGAUGGUGAUAACAAUGGUGAAAGCCUAAUUCUACUUAUGCUCUUUUGAGGGGAUACAUACCUUUCUUGCUCUUUUGAAACUUUUUGAGGAGAAUGAGAUGCUCUAUAUUUUCUUUUUCUUUUCUCUCAGGUGGGUAUCUUGUACCCCUAAUUCUACUGUCGGACACUUGUCCAUUUUUACCUCUUGUCUCACUUUUUUUUUCUUUUCUUUCGAGGUUCCGGGCACUUGCCCCUUUUUAUUUCCUCGUAUUUAUUUUUUUUCUCUCUCUUUUUUUUAUAUUAGAGCACUCAUCUCCUGAAAUAAUAUAGCAAGUGGUAGUAACCAAGAUAACUUGAGCAUUUAUUUCACAGGGGAAAAACAGAAAUGUUUUUGGCUAUUCUCUCCCGGAUUAGGAGUAGAAUAUUUUUAGGUGGCUCUGGAGAUGGAAAUGGAUGGAUAUAUGUGGAUGGUACUUCUGGAGUAGAAGUAGCAUGUGUGAGUGAACGUGCAAGUGAAUCUUGAUUUAACCACAUGACAAGCUCCUAAGGGUCUACACAGCUUGACCACACUCAAUGCUCAUAAGCAGUAAAAAGUAAAUGUGUGGUUCAUAGUCUAACAAGCAUGUAUAUAUGGCUGUGGUAGGAAUUUAAAAUCUCAUCAUACAGGAACUCAUCAUGCAACAUUUUAAAGAUUUUCAAAGAUAAAAUUCUCCAGAAUUCUAGCAUCUCUAGGAACAGAUAAACAGCAGCUCAACCUUCCCAUAUCGUAUCCGUUAACGACUUAGACUUUAGAUCAAGUACUCUCCCCACAAGUUCAGGUUUAGAGCAAAUCUUAAUUAAUAACAGUCAUGCCUAAACUUAAGAGAGAUUUCAAUUUUUAGAACUAGUCAUGGCAGAGCAACUAUUCAUCAUUUCCAUGUGAAAGCUUAUCAUGAGGGUUCAUAGCAAAUUUUAUUUAUUUAUUUAUUUAGCAAACUAAGCAAAGAUAUAUAUAUAAGCACAAAAUCUUUAUUUGGGUUUUUAUGAUUAUGCAUCUUUUUAUUAUUUGAGUAAAAUAUAAACGUGAGUAGAAUACUUAGGUGGAUAAAUGGAGGUGCUCUCCCCCAAGCUGGAUUUUGACGUAAUUCCUUUUGAUGUAGCAGGUUGCGGAGGUGUAUUUGAAUGUCGGCAGCACCCUGAUAUUGAUUAGGAUGUCCUCCGUCUACUAGUCUUCUUUGAUCCUUUAAUUCUGUGGAGCUCAAAUAGACAACAAAGCUUUGUGGAACUAGUUAAGUGUUAGCAUAAAUAUCUAGCCUUUAUCAUGUUGAGCCUCCUCAAUAAAUGUUACUCUCUUUAGUAGGAUCAUAUUUUCAUUUUUAUAGGACAGGAAUAUAUAUAUUUAUUUUUACGCCACCACAGUGAAUGUACUUAUGGGUUUUAUGCCAUGAGCAUACUCACAUGGGGCUUACUUAACAUUUUUAUUUUCUUUUCAAGAUGAUAUGAACCUGAUUAACUAAAAUAAUUGAAAGGAAAAAGAUAACUACCAAGUUUACCUCUUGGCAAGGCGUUCGGUGUUUUUACGUCCUCCGAACGGGACUCUCCGUUUUCUCAAUCAUCCUGGAAUUCGCUGGAUAGCGUAGUCGGUGGUUCUGGCGGUGCCUGCUCUUCGUGUAUAACUAUCUUCUCUCUCCACACAUGACUCGGUGCUACGGUCUCCUCAGGACAGUUCCGUUCAAGUUGUAUGUCUUUAGACCUUACAACUUCUCCUUCAUAGUCUACCCAUCCGUCCUUGAUGAUUUUGCCUUCUCUUGUUACGGUUGCGUCGUCUUCUUCUUGUCCUAACCUGCUUAGAGUCUUCAAUUAUAUAGUUAGGGUCAGUAAAAUAGUGGCGUACCUUCUCAGAGGUGAAGUGCAUGUGGACUUCUCUGGUUCCAAUGUAUAUGAUUGCUUUAAUGGUGCUAAAGAACGGUCUUCCAAGGAUGAUGGGUGGAUCGUAAUCGUCUUCUCCCAUGUCAAUAACCUUCAAUCUUUCAGAAUGUCUGAUCUGCCAUCUGAAGCUGAAUGUAUGUCAGUUUUAGGGGCAUGGUUCCGAAUAGGAGCUGAGAGGUGACUGGCGGCCAUUAUGUCGACGCCUGACCCGGUGUCGCAAAGCAUCUUCUGGAAGUUGUAUCCAUCAAUGGAGCACUGGAUGCUUGGCAUACUUGGGUCGUCCUUUUUGGUUAGGAACGGUGACUUAAGUCGACGAUCUUAACCUCCUUGAACUGCAGUGACCAUCUUUGCUGACUUGGUCCACAUUUGCUUGUUCCUGUUCCUCCUGUUGGUCCUCUUCCUUGUUUCAUGUCGGGAUUGCUCUGAGAUUUGUGUAGUCUUGUUCUUGAAGGAAAAUGUCUCAUUUCUCCCUUUGAUCUAGAAACUGAACUUGGCAGCACUCGCGUAGAUGAUAGCUCCCGAGGUGUUCAGGAAUGGCCUCCCUAGGAUGAUGGGUGCCCUCUCAUCAGUACCAGUCUCUAUCACCACGAAGUCUGCUGGGGCGUACAAGGUACCAACUCGUAUACAGAGGUUCUUCAAUAUUCCUUUUGGGAAACUUAGUGUACAGUCUGCAAGCUGCAAACCCAUGGUUGUUUCUGAUAAAUGAUGUGUAAAGAAUUUUUCUUAGAGUACCCUGGGCAUAAUGUUGACGCUGGAGCCAAAGUCGCAGAGUGCUUCCGGGAAGUCCACCAUGCCGAUGGAGAUCGGGAUGACGGGACGUCCUGGAUUGUAUCUCUUAACCGACAGAAGGUCAGUAAUUACUUCCACAACAGGGUUACUCCAGUAGUUACAUCCUCAAGCAUCUCAGGGCAGUGAUUGCCUGAGUGUCCAGUAUCUCCAGUGUGUUUGUGCUCGUAGAUCUAGGUUCUUCACUUGGUGGAGUCUGGGAGUUAUAAAAGUCCUUCAUAUUUUGCUCGAAGUGUACCUGCUCAUAGAGACAAGGCCGAGAUCAAGUGCAUGGGCUCUGUUGGUGGAAAACACCAACAGAACCAAAAGUGUAUUUGUUCUCUCUAACCUUAAGCAUAGUGAGCAAGACAAAGUUGAUGGAUAAUAAGAUCAUGAGUGUAGCAUUUAACAUUUGUCAGAUUAGAUUGCUCAACCUUAUGGAAAGAUAAUCUAUCUAUAUGUUUUGUUUAUAUCUUCCAAAGAUUGAGUGUGCAACAUUUUAGCUUAUACGAUUAGGAGUGUGGAAUCACAAAGGUGGAAGGACUAAACAUGUUGAAUCGAUUGGGUUGGUUAAUCUAGAGUUGUAGAUCAUACAUGUUUGUCUCUUUUAUUCAUGUGAAUGCCAGAACCAAGAAAAAGCUUAUAGAAGUGAUAGUCAAGUACCUUAAGAUGUUACCUUACUUGAAGAGUGAUGGUACAGUAUUACCUUGUGGAAGCUUUCCUUUCUUAGUGGUAGUGCAUCGUGUUUGUGGCACCGUCCAUGGAUCAUCUCUUGUGAGCUAUGCCUUCCUUGUGUAGAUUGUUAAACUUCAUGUGUCUCUCUCAUUGUCUCCAAUGUGAGUUUGUCUCAGGACUUCCCAGGUCGAUAUUGAAUGUUUUCCUGCAGGGGUUAGUCCAACAAAAUAUACCAAUGUCUACACAAGCGGUUUUUAGUUCAAUAACCAAACUAGACUCCAUGUCUAAUUAGAUUAAGGAAGGCUGUUUAACCUAAGCACCAUGCUUAAUUUAAAAACCAAUAGAAGUAUGUACAGUACUUCCAAACUAACACUUACUAGGAUAAACAAAGGUAGCGUGAUGGCUUUUAUAGAGAUCUACUCAAGUGGAGAUGAAGUAGUGUGAUUACUAUUUAACAAAUUGAGCAUGUCUCAGGGUAGGGAUAACCAACAUAGCAACAUGGCAAAUGAUGUUUUUGUAUAAAGUACUCCCCCAAGCUUGAAUUUUGCAAAAUCAAGUUUGGAUGAAUUUAAUUCAAUGUUGUAUGAUGAUUGGUUGGACAUACCUUGUGCUUGUCAUUCAUCCGAUCUUCUUGCUCCAAUCCUGGAAAGGUUAGUGACAAGAAUACCCGAAGGAAUUUUUUUACAAUUAUCCUUAUAUGCUCAAUACACAAGUUAAUGUUGCAAAUAAUUAAAAGCUCAUGUUACAAUCUGAUCAGUGCUUGUUUUAGGACACUAAGCUUGUCCUUGGGAAACCAUCAAUUUAUGUCAGCGAAGUGGUUUCCCCUCUAACGCUGACCUAUAUCAAGAUCAACUCAACGAGAUCUACAAAAUUUAUUAUAGACAUAUGCAUCGACAACCGCCCUUUUAAAGUUUUUAUAAAUAGAAAGGAUGUGGGGGAUGGAGAUCUCGAAUGUGGUGAUGUUGGAGAGACCAAUGGAUUGUGAAGAUGUUGCAUAUGAGCAUGGAGUAAAUGAAGUGGCUAUGAAAUAAAUUCCAUGCUCAUUAAUGCUUAGAGUGAAAUCCAUGUGGUAUGGUGAAAAUGGUAAGGUGAGUGUGGUAGAAAAAGAAAAAGGAUACACGGACGACUUGGUUCGAAACUAGCACAGCUACCGUUCCCCGGCAACGGCGCCAGAAAGCUUGUUGGGUAUUUUAAACGCAAACAGAAAAAUCCGCAAGCGCACGGAUACCGAUGUAGCUUUCACCCGGGAGUAUUCCAAAGUAUCGAUUUUCCACAGAGAACGUGAGUGUACUAAUUAAGAUCCAAGAUCGCCCAAGGAUAACUAUAUAAUUAUUUUUGGUGGGAAGAGAGGAAGUUUCCUGAGAGUUCUCUAGAUGAUCUAAGAAUCAAGAAUUACUUCAAGAUUAUCUAUUUCGGGACAUCAGAACACUAACCACAGAAAGAGAUGAGAAGGGGGCUAGGAAGCUCCGACUACGGUCCUACAAACACCGAUCCGAACCAGGUGGAAUACGUCGACCGUUAGGGCUGUCACUACCCUAAGGCUACCACAACAAUCCGCAGGAUUGGGUGCAAUUCCAGGUAAUCGCAAGACUAAACACCACGUUUAAUCUAUUAAUUACUACUCUAAUGUUUCAAAGACUAGAGCACUUGAUGCAAGCGGGAAUCCAAUAAAUAACUUGAAUGUAAAUAAAAGUAAUUAGAGAACUCAGGAGUUAUGAGUUGAAGAACCUGGAGAACGAUGAAGAACGAACCAGUUGCUGCAAAAGUACAAUGUUGAGGAAGAUCCGACAGAUCCGGCUCCUCCUCCGCUCUCCUCUUCUCUCUCCCUAUUUUGUAGAUUAGAACUAGAACUAACUAGAACUAGAACUAGAGGAACUAGAACUAGAACUAGAUGAACUAGAACUAGAUCUAGAUGAACUAGAGGUAGAACUAGAAGAACUAGAGGGAUCCUCUCUACUUGGAUGAAGAAUUGAAACCCUAACUUUGAUUUUGUAGAAGAGGUAUGAUCUCCAGGGUCCAGGGGGGUCUGGUUUUAUAGUCCCUUCAAGUGAAUCUGGGCCGUCGGAUCAAACCGACAUUGAUCGCACGGUUUUCCUUGAUCCUUUAGGUCGGUGGAGCUUGGUCCGCAAAGUUGGACGUGUUUGACCACAAAUCCUGGGCGAGCGCCCAAGGGGGGUGGGCGGGCGCCCUGCCCCCGGGCCCGUUCGCCUUCCCGUUCGUUCCCGUGGCUUCUGGAGUCUUCUAGAUGACGUAAAAUUGCGCGGCACGUUAAUAUCUCUAUGUCAACCCGACGUGUGGGCCUUUCUUCUGUAUUUCCUGAUAACCCCCUGCAGAAAUAGACAAACACCAAAACUUGUGUAAUUCUAUCAGAUAAAACCCUAAGUCUAGAUGUUGGUAGCAUUUGGAUCCUUUUCUAUGAUUAGUUGACGAUUAAAUGUGAGCAUUAAGGACCGUCAACAGGCUCAAAGUCUAAUAAGCAUGUAUAUAUGGCUGAGGUAGGAUUUUAAACUCUCAUCAUACAGGAACUCAUUAUGUGAUAUUUUAAAGAUUUUUCAAAGAUAAAAUUCUCCAGAAUUCUAGCAUCUCUAGGAACAGAUAAACAGCAGCUCAACCUUCCCAUAUCAUAUCCGUUAACAACUUAGACUUUAGAUCAAGUACUCUUCCCACAAGUUCAGGUUUAGAGCAAAUCUUACUUCAUAACAGUCAUGCCUAAACUUGAGAGAGAUUUUAAUUUUAAGAACUAGUCAUGGCAGAGCAACUAUUCAUCAUUUCCAUGUGAGAGUUUAUCAUGAGGGUUCAUAGCAAACUUUAUUUAUUUAUUUAGCAAACUAAGCAAAGAUGUAUAUAUAAGCACAAAAUCUUUAUUUGAGUUUUUAUGAUUAUGCAUCUUUUUAUUAUUUGAUUUAAGUAUAAACGCGAGUAGAAACACUUAGCUGGAUAAAUGGAGGUGCUCUCCCCCAAACUGGAUUUUGACGUAAUUACUUCUGAUGUAGCUAGCAGGUGGCGGAGGUGUAUUUGAAUGUCAGGAGCACUCUGACAGCUAUUAGGAUGUCCUCCAUCUGCUAGUCUUCUUUGAUCCUUGAAUUCUGUGGAGCUCAAAUAGACAACAAAGCUUUGUGGAACUGGUUAAGUGUUAGCAUAAAAUCGCUUUGCCUUUAUCAUGUUGAGCUUCCUCUAAUAAAUAUUAUUCUCUUUGGUAGGAUCAUAAAUUUAUUUUUAUAUUUUCAUUUUUAUAGGAUAGGAAUAUAUUUAUUUUAUUUUUAUGCCACCACAGUGAAUGUACUUAUGGGUUUUAUGCCAUGAGCAUACUCACAUGGGGCUUACCGUUUUUAACAUUUUUAUUUUCUUUUCAAGAUGAUAUGAACCUGAUUAACUAAGCAAACUAUUUUAAAUAAUUAAAGAGAAAAUGAUAACUACCAAGUUUACCUCUUGGCAAGGCGUUCGGUGUUUUUAAGUCCUCCGAACGGGACUCUCCGUUUGCUCAGUCGUCCUGGGAUUUGCUGAUGGCGUAGUCGGUGAUUCCGGCGGCGCCUCCACUUCGUGUAUAACUAUCUUCUCUUUCCACAUCUAACUCGGUGCUACGGUCUCCUCAGGACAGUUCUGUUCAAGCUCUAUGUCUUCAGACCUUACCACUUCUCCUUCGUAGUCUGCCCAUCCGUCCUUGAUGAUUUGCCUCCUCUGGUUCCAGUUGCGUCGCCUCCUUCAGAGGGAAGUGCAUGUGGACUUCUCCGAUUCCAAUAUAGAUGAUAGCUUUGAUAGUGCUGAGGAACGGUCUUCCAAGGAUGGUGGAUGGAUCAUACUCAUCUUCUCCCAUGUCAAUGACCUGAAAAUCAUCUGGAGCUGAAUGUAUGUUGGUUGUAGGGGCAUGGUUCCAUGCAGGAGCUGAUAAGUGACUGCGGCCAUUAUGUUGUCGUCAGAUCCGGUGUCGUAGAGUGUCUUCUAAAAAGAGUAUCCGUUGAUUGUGCACUCGAUGCUUGGAACACCAAGGUCGUCUUUCUUGAUUAGGAAAGGCGACUUGAGUCGACGAUGUUGACCUCUUCCGACAAGGAUCCAAUGUUUUAAGUCUUCUGGACAAGACUUCUCACCGUCUUCAUCCUUUAGGUGCAUCAUUUGAUUAGGUGUGGACCUUGACGUCUGCACUUCUUGAUAUAGUG
rnacentral:lncRNA from 1 species